rnacentral:lncRNA from 1 species
UUUUUUUUUGUCGAUACGAUAAAAUUCCUAUAACCUAAGCUAGUCUAUUCUAGGGAGAGGGGGGAGGGAACUCAAUGUGAGUAGAAACUCCAUCGAAAGUGGUCAAUGAAGACCGUCACAUAAUGUGAGUAGAACUGGGAAGAUGUCAUGAUGCCACGAAAUUACCAGCAUCUGGAAAGAUGUCAUGAUGUUCCUAAAAAGUCUGAGGUGCGCAUUGCUUAAUGAUGCAGGCAUGUCACCUAGCCACUUCAUUUAACAAGAAAAAAAAAAUGGAUCGAAUUACAGAAUGCAGACAUCGCUACCAGUGAGACCAUAGAGACUAUUGGGAUUACACUGAAUUAAUCAAACACGUUAAUCGAGUGCUUGACUUCACCACAUCUGCCAUCCUGGAACAUGUUACAUCCAUGACUUGUAUGUGAAAUUGAUAUGGUUAUGUUCUAACGUCUUCAGCAGUCGUCAAUGCGUAUCUCUACCUGAAAUUUGAUCCUCCCCAGUAUGGCAACUCCUCCACAUGGCAGUAACGUGUUCUUCGAUAUUUUAGCAAUGAUUCCAUGUUUUCAACCAGACGUGCAAAUAUGUGCCAGGUUAAGCCCAACAUCCCAGAAGUUACUACGCGUGAUGCUAGAAAAGCAACAUCCUACGUUGUGAAGACAUGCUAUCCAGUCAAGAAUAUGGAUUAGCAGUAACUCUAGGAGACAGGAGAAAAAGGAACGUACAGGGAGCAAGCAAACUGAUCAACGUCAAUUUUAAAGAACCUCGCACCUAGUAAUUCACACAAAUAAUAAACAUCAUUAGCAUGAAGAAUACAACAGUUAACAGUAGAUAAACUUGAUUUAGUUGAGAGAAACAAAAGCCAGGGUGGGGAUUCCUCAUCUAUGAAAACAAAAGGUUCAAUAAAAAUGCUAAAAUCCCGUCCCUGACACUGAACCAGAAAAAGGAUUAUAUUACAUUUCAAAAUGUCUCCAAACAGUUGAAAAUAUUGUUUGCCCCAAUUUGAAAGGAGGCCUAGACAUUUGGGAAGAACAAUCUCAUCUUUGAUGAUACACAACAUUUAGUUGUUGCCACCUCCAAACAGAUAACCCAGCGAAGAUCCACCACCAGGGGCAGCAUGGACUUUGGUAGACGGCCGAUCCUAAAAAAAAAUUAAAAGCUUUGUAUGUCAAGUUGAUCAAUCCAGGAAGAGCAAUUCAUAACAGAGUAAUAGAGCCAAAAACAAUUGCAGAGAGGCAAUGCUAAAGCACAAAAACAAUUUCCUAACUCUUCCACCUGCAAGUACAUUCAAUCACCCACCUGCCAUCCUCCCUCUUCACCCCCAAAACAAUAAAGCAGAACAACACAAAACCUUUCUGUAGAUGCAAAAUUCCUGUAUGGGCAAAAAACUUCUGGGCAUUGUCAAAGAUGAACUUCUUUUCCUUUAAUUAUCUUUUUCUUAGGGGGACAUGUUUGCCAGGAAAAUUGCACAAAUAAAACAGUGUGGAAAAUAUUUACAUGUUCAAUGAAGCAAGCCAAAUAAUAGAACAGGAAUAUGAUCAUACAGUGAGGAAGUUGCCACUAUUCUGCCCUUCAGCACGGAAAUAGUUGUUUGCUUUGUUUCCCUGGAUGCCAGCAGGAAUCUGCUUAGAAGCAUCAACAGGUUGUGCAACAGAAGUAGGCUUCAGAGAAACCACAUUGGUCUCAACUGGUGCCUGGUUUUUAGGAGCUUCUGCACUGUUUGUGACAGGUUUUGGUGCCUCACCACUUCCAAAGAGGUAGCCAAGAGAGCUUUGUCCUCCACCACUGCUCACUCCACGACCCAUGAUUUCUUAAUUUAUCUUUUUGCAAGCUCAGCAACUGUUUUCACAUUGAGCACACAAUAAGAACACAGAGGCCAAGAACAGUUAGCACAAAAACUAAUCAUGUCCAGCAGAAUAGUUAGAUCAAAUUCUUGUAUAGAAAGCUCAAGCAACACAAAAACAGAAACAAAACAAGAUGGCAAUCUCUUCUUUGGUUCUUCUAGUUCAAUGAAGAGUAAAACCCAAGUCAACCAUCCAAAAGUGUAAAGGAUCAAGCAACUGAAUUCCACUGUACCAGUAAAUUGUGUAGUAGUUCGAUUAAUAGCUUAAAAUCUGAUUCAUGUCCGAGGAAAUGAAGCAAAUCCCCCGCUUCUCCAUUUUAGCUUUCUCAUGGAGAUCGACAAUCAUUUGCCUUUAUAUAAAAUCCUCAGUUUACUCCCUCCAAAAGUAGAAAUUUCAAGACACUCUUGAUUGAACUUUGCAUCACAACCAAAAAAAUUAAAUUAAAAAAAUACCUAAAGCUAGUCUAUCCACCCACGCCACCAAAACCGUCAGCUGUAAAAAGAAGAAAGCUUCAUCCUUCCAUAAGUGGUUCUUGUUGGAUCGCUAAUGCAACAGGAUUUAUCUUACAGUCCAUAGUGAUUCGACUUAAGACUCACAAGUCGACCCCAACCAUAGAUAAACCAAAAUCAGAAGCUAUACGAACUCCAUUACAAGAUUUCUGUUUUUCCAAGAAUAGACAGAUUUUCCGUCUGUUUUGCAACUUCCAGACUUUUGGCAGAUCCUAACAGGGUAACAAAAUUUUGUUAUACAAAACUCCAUAUUUCAACAAUUCGAAAAUCUUCCAUCAUUAGAAGAUCAAAUAGAAAAAAUCUCACCAGCAAUUCAGGAACUAAAUAGAUUAAAUUGCACAGCUACAUCUUCUUUAAUUUAAUAUAAUUAAAGAAGUUCAAAAAAACAAAAUGAGUAGAUAAAGUCACUUUCACAGCAAGUAAAGUAAUAACUAUCAACGUCAAAACCUAGAUCUGAAACAGUAUAGCAAAAAUUGACAGCUAAAACACUCUGGAAAAUGCCUAAUUUAAUCCAGAUCCAUACCAGAAAAUUAACCGAAUAAAUUACACAAAAAACGUAAGCAUUUAGUCUUAGAAAGUCAAAACAGCUGAAAACGUAGAGAAAGCUGACCUUCUCAGAAGUGUAGCCUUGUGUCGUCCGGUUGAAGAUCAGAUCUGCGGAGAGAAGAUAGGGAAAAAUAGAGAGAGAAAAAUUUUAAUUAAACUAAUUUGACGGAGAGGGCUAUUUAUAUCGGAGACUUUGAAGUGAGUGGCAUGACUGGUGAGUGGGUAGUGGGGAGCGGAGAGUGGGCAGCGGGCAGUUGGCAGUGAUUAGAGUUAAAGUAGUAGAUAAUAUAUAGACUAAAGUAGAUAAUAAGGACAAAAUGGGGCGGUUCUGCAUCAUUUUCCGCGUUCCGAUUAUCAUUACUUAUUUCAAUGGAAAAAAAUUUUGAUGAAAGUUUGAUGAAAAAAAAAACAAAUCUAGUCUCUAAUAUUUAAGUACACGAGUUUUUUUCAGCCUCGCGCGAUUCUAAUAUUUAAGUACACUAGUUUUUUUCAGCCUCGCGCGAUGCCCUGAAUCUGUGUUAAUCAAGGGUCAACUGAAGGCAAAUAAUUUAGUGUAGAAUGCUUUUAUACUUAAUACAUGAUUGGUGUAAGUAACCACGGAACAUUUGAUUUUAGGCAAUUUGAAUACCAUUUUUAUUCAUUUACUCAUUUGGUUUGUAAUUUUGUCUAGAUAGUCGGAAAUGGGCUUAAGAUCUUUGCAAUUUCUUGAUACUAUAAAUAAAUGAUGCAUUCAUUUGAAAUAUAUAAGUACAUAUAAAUAUAAGAAUCAUGGUGAUAUUAAAAACUUUUUAAACAAUGCUCACACUAUCUGUACAUAGUUAAGAAUGAAAUAACUUUAAACAAGUAAAAGAUUUCCUUAAACCUAUUAUAAAUAAAUACAAUGGUAGUGUCAAUAAUUUGAAAAGAACAGUCAUCACAUUUCUACAUAAUAAAAAAUAUCAAGAAAUUGAGAAUUAUUCGUAUUAUAGUAAAAAAAUAUGCUUCUAGUAAUCGUAGUCGAAAUUGUUAUCCUGAUAGGUGUUGUUUCUUUUAAUAAUCUUUCCAAAUCGAACAUGUUUUCUCAAACUUCUUGAACUCUUUGCAACAAGUUUUGGGUAUAGUACAUAAAUCAUGAUCAUCUCUCUUUCUUAUUGUUUUGCAUCUCUCUUUUUGUGCAAAGACAAAUUAAAACCAGAGACCAUUGAUCGAUGACAAUGAACUUUUUCUUCUUUUCUUUUUUCAAGCAUUCCCUUAAAAGAAUUCAAACAAAUUAUAGUAAUCUCGAGACAUGCAAUGUGUAGCAUAUUUCACCUUAUAACCUUAAUAAACAAUUGAACCUUAACAGCCAUUUAUAUCAACCAAUUAUGCAGUGCAUUAUUUUAAUUAGUCAACUAGUAAUGAAUAAGGAUGAAUGUUUCUAGCUAAUGUUGUGGCGACCCCACUUCCCCCUAAGGCGAACCAGAGGGUUGGCGGGCCGUCUGCCUAACUCUCGCCAGGACUCACGCAAGAGAUCUAGCCCAAAUCCUUCCGAAGUAUAGCCUAAAUUAUUAUAGUAUUGAUCCUCCAGAAUAGACCAAUAACUAAGACCACAUUAACUUCAGAGAUAACAGCACUUUAAGAUAGCGACUCGUCGAUUCUUAAAUACCUUACGCGUUACAAACCACAGAAUAAAGUCAAACAAUCCCAUUUAACAAAUUCAUACAAGCCAAAUACAUUCUUACAAGCUAAGUAACAAAUUUACACAAGCCACAUAACCAAUCUAGGGUUUACACUUUUCCAGCUUCAAGUGGCAACCCGAAACAAAACUACAUUGUCUAAUCCGAAAUACAUUAAUAACAAGUAAAGUAGAUUUCAGGCCUUUCUCAUAUGCCAGAACCUGUCAAGGAAAACAAAAUAACGUGGGGUGAGCUAAAACUCAGUGGUGCCUCAAAACAUGCAAUUACAUAAGGCAAGUAGCAAAUAUUGAUUUCAACUAAAGUAAACGAUUAGGAAAGCGUAUAACAGCACAAGGUAGGAUACAGGGGCUCUCAGGAGCCAUUCUCCAUGAACUUGAUCAAAAUUUUCCGUAGUUGACCCUCCGUCAACUUUCACUACCUACGGUCCAUGUAGAACGCCACUUCACACCAGUUCCUACCUCCAUUCAUACCCCUGUCCCGGGCCCGCACACCAAAAAAUGAUAGUGGUAAUACUCGACUACACCCUUUUAUAAACUAGUCGAGGGAUUCACCCAACGACGUCACAGACUAGUCGAGGGAUUUACCCAAUGACGUCACAAACUAGUCGAGGGAUUUACCCAACGACGUCACAACACUUGAAAUAUUCACGAAAACAUUUCACACAAGUCACCACUCGAACGGCUAGUGUGAUAAAGUACACACUGCUCACUUCGAUGGAUCAAAAACCACUUUGCAAUUAUCAUAUAUCGAGUCAAGAAAGCACUGUAACCAAAUAGUCAUAAAACAAGCAGGGACACUCACCAAGAGUGAAGCUCAGAUGUCAAGUUGGGAAUCGAAAUCCGCGUCCUCGCUAAAUCCUAGAAAACCAAGUUUUAAGAACUAUAAGUUUUCUAUUCAAAUUCUAGGUAUAUAAAUAUAAAAGGUUAUCUGGUAUAUUACUAGUUUAUUUCCUCGAAAUAAUUCGACAAUCCACUUAGGAUUAAACUUAGUAAAAGUAGUAAAUUGUUUCAUAUGGCUUUCUUUAUAAUACUUUUCUUUCUCAAAGUGCCACUAGUACUUUUUUUUUUUUAUAUUUAAAGUAAGUUUUCUUGCCGAGCAGGUUUUCUACGCUUUUUAGUUAAAAUUAUUAAAAUCUCGUAUUUUGUCAAUUUUCCUCUAGACAUCUAGCCAGGGACAAAUUUUAAGGAAAGAAAAGGAGGUAAAACAAGACUUAGGGUUUUAGAAACUAGUGAAGUCGUUUUCUAGAAGUAAUAAGGUUAGUUUAAGCUAAAGGAAGAAAUAUCGAGUCGACAAAGUUUAGAAAAUUUCUACACAAGACUUUCUAACGUUAACGUACAAUACCAAGUUUUAUCGUUUGAUACUAGGGCAAAGAUAUAUUUACAUAGCUUGCUUAAAACUUUCUCAAGUUCACAGGACCAAAACGGAUUUCUUACGAUUCUGAUUCACAAGCACAUAAUAUUUCAGAUUUGUCAAUAUAGCAAACUCACAUUUCAAAUAGAAAUCUCACUAGGGCUUCGUCAAUCAUUAGCCCUAGGUUUCAACAGAUUCAUUUCUGAUCAAAAUUUAAACAAAUGACCAAGGCUUCGUCAAUCAUUAGCUCUUGGUAUCCAACAGGCUCAUAUCAGAUCACAAUUGAACAAAAUAAAUGCAAGGCUUCCAAGCAGUUCCAUCGACUAAACCGCAAGGGUUUUAUCAACCAAGUAUAAAUAAUAACAAGUAAUUCCAGCAGUUAAUUUCAUCAAAAUUUUAAUGUUUGAAAAAAUUACUCAAAUAGCCAAACUGGAAAUUUUCCGGCAUCUAUACUUCAACAUUUUUGGUCCAAUCUUCCAACAUAUCAAAUGUUUCAUAGCUAAACCACUUACACGGCUUAAAUACACAUUUUUCAUGCAUUUCUAAACCAUUUUCUUCCAAGGAAAAAUUCCAGAAACAUGUUAAAAUUUCCAACUCAAGUCUCUCGGCUACUAGCAAAUUUUCCAGCAGCUUAAUUGAUCAUCAAUCCAACUUUUCCUUGGCUAAAUCAGUGUUUUAAGUACUCAAGUUCGACAUGCAAACACUUAGCUAGCUAAUUAACAUUUCUAGUUCAAAAUUAGAUUCGAAUAACAACUACAAACAUCCCAAAAAUCCAGAAAUUUGUCCAGCUAGCCUCGGAUGAACAUGCAUGUAAGCUGGUUUCAUUUUAUUUUUAUUUUUCUUGCCUAACCUAGCUAACUAUCCUCAUGCAAGACUUAAUCACCUAGUGUUUAGUUGGUUAAUCGAAAUUACAAGCUCAGAUUACUUUAAUUAAGCAAAAUUAAGUCUGCAUUUCCUAAUCAACUCUCAGCAAUUUCUAUUUCCUUCCGAAUCAGAUUUCUUAAGCUAUCAAUCUCAUCAUCCGAACGCACAAACAAUACAUGCAUGUCUUAAUCAUCUUAUUUUUUUUUUACUUAGUUAAUUACAAUUGCAUGCUCAGAUUGUCAAGAGAUAAACGAAUUAAUCUCAGCAUUAUCCCCUUAAAGUCUCGGCAAACCCACUUUCUGCGCACAUCAGAAUUUUCCUUUCCUCAAUUACUCAUCCGAACGCUUAAACAUUACAUGCAAGCUCCUUAACAUCUUCACCUACUUGUAGUUAGUCAGUCUAAGUCCAAGAUUUACCUCGAACUGAAGCUUAUACGCGUGGCACAAAAGCUGUCAAGUUUCCUCCUCUCUCGGACAGCUUACGCACUCGAUGGUUGCAGUUGUGGAGGUGCGGUUGGAACUGAUGAAGAUGGUGACGAUCAGCAGCUGGUUGAGGUUAAGAAAAUGCAGAAGGAACUCACGCAGUGUUUCUCUCCUUUCUUCCCUCUAGCUCCCGGACAGAACAGAAAAACUACAGCUCGGGGUUUUCUUUUUCUUACUCUCGGAUAUAGUAGGCAGCUCUCUUCUCACGGUUGAUACUCACGAGGUAAGGUGGAGUGGUGGUGCGAGGCUGAGAUAAAGUGGAGUGUUUGAGAGAGGUGAUUCGCAGUGAAGAGAGGUUGAGUGUUGGAGAGGUGAAAGUGAAGUGUGUUCGGCCGAAUGGAAAUGGCUAUGUUAUAAGGUUGGCCGAGAGGGUGUUGGUGUGGUUGCAUGGUAAUUUUCUGAAAUAGUGGAGGGGUAUUUCGGUCUUUUCACAUCUCCUCCUAAUUUCUACUCAAGUCCUCAAUUCUAACUUAAUUCCAAAAAUUAUCCCAAAUGUGAUUUAAACGCCUAAUUAUAUACUAACCUUGCGAAAAUUUAAUCAUUGGAAAUUUUCACGUCCGAAGUAUACUUAGUAUACUUGUAUCGAUUUUGUCUAAAAUUUAUUGAUUGCAUCUUAAUACUAAGGUUCCUCAUAACCCUUUACAUUAUUAACGAUUAAACUAGCUAUCGGAAUUUAAAGAAUUUAUUUUUAAGGAAUAAAAUUAAUUUAACUCAAGAUUUAUUAAUUUAGUAUAACAAAACCAAUUAAUUUAAUAGUUUAGCACAAUUAUAUUAUUUUUCACAUAAAAAUUAUUUUUUUUGCACUUAUUUAAAAACAAAUAAAUAAUAAAAAAAUAAUGCUAGAAUUUAUUAAAGAAUAAGAAAUGCAAAUGAAAUAUGCACUGGGGUAUAUAUAUAUAUUUCGAGGUUCUCACAGAUGUAAUUUGAAACCUAAAACAUUUUAAGGCUAGAAAUUCAGUUCACUUGAGGCUUUAUCACAUGAGAAAAAAAAUGUGAUUAAUGCUGCGCGCAUUACUUCUCAAAACUGCCAGCUUUCAUUGUUUCAUAGUUUUGAACCUCGUGCGCUGUCCAGAUCCAAUUUUAAUCAAAGCACACUGAUGCGUAUUGCAUGACAAAAGAACAGCCGCUAAGGUAUACAAAAUUGAUAAAUAAGUAUAUAGAACAGCAUAUUGACAUGAAGUAAAUCCAUGAAAGGAACCCAAAAUGUUCCAAAACUCAUGAGUAAAUGAGACAAGGCAUUUAACUACGACUUUAAACUGAACAAAGUCAAAUAAAAAUUAGUUUCAGUAAUUUGAAAAGUCAAAGAAACAUCAGUCAAAUGAAACACUGCAGAGCUUUUCUUUUUAUUUUUAUCUGCACAUUUUCCUCAGGAAUACAAAUUGUUCAGCAGCAAGGCUUAAACUUUGUAUUGAUCAGCUGAAAAGAGGAAUGAAGUAAUACAUUUGCAUGCUAUAAACUCGAAGAGGAAUUUCAAAAAUGUGUCAAUAUCAAUGAUCCAACUCCACUCAAUCCAAUUGUAGCCUAAAUGAGAUUAGACAAGUGAUUUAGACGAUACGUCAGCUUUUUCAAAGAUUUGUCAAUGUCUUGAUGUAGGAAUCAGUGCAAAGUUAUUACAUGAUCCAAUUUGUAAGAGCAAACAUGAUCCUACAUCAAGACAAGACAUAAUUAAUGGCUUUAGAGAGUAAGUCCAUAAUUUAAAUUCAAUGGGCCAAGACAACAAGACAUAAUUGUAUAAGAGCAAACUUGAUCCUACAUGCAAGUAUUAUGAAUUUGUGCAUACAAGUGAUACUGGCACCAGAGAUACGUUUACCUUUAAUUUAGAGUAGAUAAAAAGUGAAUAAUCUACAAUUACAUGAUCAACAAAGAAAAGAUCAUUAGUACAAGUGGAUGGUGCCUUUUGUUGUUUUAGCUCCAAUCUCUACUUUCACCAUGCUGUAGAAGUGAUUAACUUGUGCUAGAUCAGACAAGUAUACCUGACAGAUACAAUUUUGUAAAAUACAAGAUGACAUCAUUUGGUCUAACUAAAUACACCUGACAAAGACAGUACACAUUCUUCUUAAAAGAAAGAAUUUGGAAGGACAGAUCGACCUUUAAUUGAGGCCAAGACCAUACUUAAAAUGUGUAGUCAAUCCAUUAGACAAAUCCCUGUAUACACAUCAUAUGCACUCAAUUGUUCUGCAAAUUCUUUCAAGUGGGACAAAACAUAAAAAACUCAUCACCAGAAAAACUAUAAUCAUGCAGUAGGAUGGCCAUAGUAGCAAGUCUAAUAAUGGCUCCUAUCUGACAAUAGUUGAAACCCAUAAAAUAUCUCUAAAAUUUUUAACGCCCUUUGGUGAACCAUUGCAAUGGUUUGAACAAACAUUCUGACUCAUAGGCCUCUCACUAUAAAGACAAAUCUAGUUCGACAGGGGGUUACUAAGACUUAUAUUUACAAUUGAUAACAAAGGAGAUUGGAAAAUAAUUUUGUCAGUCACAUUGAUAAAUAGUUUGAGAAGGAUUGUCUUCAAUGAGUAAGCUUUCAUUUCAGACAGUUUUAACACUAUCUCAAUUUCACAAAAUAGUAACAAUCAAGUUCCUCGCGUAAUCACAUUUUCCAGAACUCUGCUUAAAAGUUGAACCUGUGAGAGCCCGAAAUUAAUUGUGUAAUUUAUUUAUUUGUGUAUUUAUUUAUUUAUUGAAUGUGUUGCAAUUUUCUUGUUAAUUAUCCAAUUUACAUAUUUACUUGUUUCUUGUGAUUAAACAACUCAGAAGUACCCUAAAUUAAUGUAGGAUCAAACUCUAUAGGAAUUAAUACAAUCUAGAAUAAGAAAUUAGUAGGGGCAUAAAACAAUAAUACAAAAGUGUGGGGUAAUUGUUAGAUUAAGCUCUUGACCUAUGCAUGCUUGACAAACGGAGAAACAUUAGUGCCAGGUGUGAGAUGUCUUGUUCAAGACACAAAAAUCCUAUUGGUCAAAUUUUUUUAGUCUUGCUUCUUGUCUCAUUUUCAAUCGAGAGAGGAGUAACAGGAAGCUGAGAAAAUCUUCCUUAGUCUUGCUCUUUGUCCAGCCAAGAGCACUUGAGAGAGAGUUGAGAGCAAUUCUCCUUGUCUUGUUCCAUUUCUAAUUGAGAGAAAGAGUUGAGAGAUAACUAGAGUGAAACCAGAGCUUCUUGUCUCCACUUCAACUGAGAGAGAAACUAGAGUUUCGUGCUCCAUUUGUAGCCAAAAGAAACCAGAAUUUCUUGCUCCAUUUCCAGCUGAGGAGAAAGUAGGAAGAUGAGCUGGCUUCCAGUUUGAGUUUGGGUAACAAAAUAAGGUAAAAUGGCUAGAAACCACAACCUUUCUAUAUACUUUAGAGGGAUUUUGAUGCAUGUAUGGUUUGGGGCUGGAUUGAAGUAGAACUAGGUAGUAGAAACUUGUUUCAUUACUGGAAAUUUCCCAACUUGAACCGAUAUAGAGUAAAUGCUAUUUCUUUUUAGUUUUCUUGCUUAAUCAAGGAUAAAUAUACUUGAACUCAUGAAAUAUGUUUAGUAUACUCAUUAUUUGGUGUUGCAUGUGAAUUUUAUGGUGAAAAUUUUGAUUUUUAUGGCUGGAAUUUUGAUUGGAAGUUGCAUGACUAUUAUACCAUUUUCUAGCUUAGCCGAUGGAAAUUUCUUGGAGUUUGAAUGGAUAUUUUGGUAUAAAAUUGGCUGAAAAAUGCUUGAUUCGCACUUGGUUGUGUGUGUUGAGUUGUUGGUGUGCGAUUUGUGGAUGGAAAUAAAAUUUAAAAUGGUUAAAAUUGAAAUGAAAGGUUGCUGAAAUUUCUAGAGAGAGAGAGAGAGAGAGAGAGAGCCAUGAAAGUGCAGCUCUUAUUUGCAAAUUUUGGUUGAGAUAUGUCUUCUUUCUGCUUUGCAUGAUACAUAUUGUAUGUUUAUCUUUGAAUCUAGUGGAAACUUGAUAACUUGGUUGGAGAAAAACACUUGCAGGAUCUGUUGGAAAUCUACUUGACUAGCGAAGUGAGGAAGAGAAAGAAUUUUCCAGUUUUUCCAUGAAUUUUUGGCUACAAAAAAAUUUUAGAUUGCAAUUCAAUAUAUCUUAUAACACAUUAAACGUCACAUGCAUGUUCAAUUUGAGUGAUAAAUAAAUAGUUUUGUUGAAGAAAAACUCGUUUGGCAAACUGUUUUCUUGCCGGAAAUUGUCCAGCUUUGAACUGUGGAGGAAGCUUGAACUUCCAGCUUUUAGAUGCAAAUUUUCUUGUUGAGUUUUGCUGGAAUGCUUGAUUAAUACCUCAUCUCAUGUUACAAGUCUAUUAUUGUGUGAUUUAUGGUUGAAACCAAAGUAAGAGAGGUGCUAUUUUGGUGACAAAAGUGAGGAAAGACUCCCUAGAGUUUUUCUUGCCUGAACUAUGGUGUGUGAAUUGAAAUUUCCAGCUUGUGGCUUCCAUUUUAUUGAAAUCUUUCAAAGAGAAUCAUGCCUUAUAGUCUGUGACAGCCCCACCUCUCCCUAAGGUGAACCAAAGGGUUCGGCGGACCGCCUGCCCAGCUCUCGCCGGGACUCAGUCGUUCACUUCAGUUCUCAAAUAGAUUACAAUACAAAUCUCAAAUAUAAAUCAAAUGGUCCACAAAUUCACAUAUCAUAAGUGAAACGAAUACUUCUCAAUUGCACUACAAGCUAAAACCUCAAGAGAUAAAAGCAAUACUAAUUUCCCGAAUAAAACAAAGGUCCUCAGUUCUCAUAUAAUUACAAGUACAAUUGCAGUCUCAAAUAUUACACAAAGGUCGAACUAAAACUUCAACGGUACAGAAGAUAAUCCCACCAUUCAUAUGGAGCACUUUAAUAUCAAUGCUUCCGUCACUUCAAGCCUUGUGGAGGGGAAUAAAAUAGUUUUGGAGUGAGCUAGAAGCUCAGCGAGUAACCAGUAAAAGCAGUCAUCAAAUCAGUUUCUCAAUAGUUCAUUUCAAUGAUGUCAUGAAUCAGUUUCUCGUGAGCCAGUGAAAUCAUUGUACUUAAACAUCCAACGCUCAAAUUGAUCAAUUAACAGUGAAACAGUGAUAGGGAGCUCUUUGGUGCUCAAGAUGAAUAGUAAAUAGUGGUGGGGACGUUGGUGUUCAGCACAAGACUUCCCAAGAACUCAUUGGAGUCAAAUCAUAUCAUGAACUCACAUGCAAGCACACAUGAUAUGCAAUCGAGUAAAUAAUGCAAGAAACAGUUCAUAAGUAGCUUUGGAAAUAGUUUGGGGUCACUAACCAACCACGGCUCAGGAAUCAUCCAUCAUAUAUCAUUGUCUUGCUCAAAUCCAAGCCUUAGAUCACAAACUCAAAACAAUCAAACACUCUCAAAGAUCGGACAACAUUUCCCCUUACUUUUUUUUUAUUUUUCACCCUACAAUAAAAUACCAAAUUGCAUCUUACCAACCACAAUUACACAUACGGUUCAUAAGCAAUAAAACACAUCCAAUUAGGAUCACAUGACCCUUCAAUCAAAGCCAAUUAAAAGCUUAAAAGCCUACCAUUAGAAAACCCCCAAGUUAAACCCUAGAAACCGGAAUUUCCGCACAAACCAGAAAUUUUUCACAAACAAUCGUAUUCAACUUAUACAAGCUCCAUUUUAUACCACAACAAGCUAUCAUUCCAAGACCAAUGAACCAUAAUCAUAUAAAAUUAGAAAAAUUCCCAAUAAAUCAGAAAUUGGUCCAACUCUUCUUAAAAUCAUAAAAUCAUCCACAAUAUAGUAUCUCCAACAUUUACAAGCCACUAAUUAACCAAGAUUAGAACCAAAAGAGAAUUUCUUAACAACUCACCUUAUAACUCAAGAAAGAUAGCACCUUAAAGCUUCCCCUUCCAAAACAACUCCACCAAAAGCUUUAAACCUCCUUUGUACACACUUGUAUGGAAUAUUUGCCAAAACCAUCGGUGAAAUCUCAAGAUUUGGACAAGAAAUUAAAACUAGAAAAAUGAAGAACUUUGCUCUCUUAUUUCUCUCUCAAACAGCCGGCCAAGCAUGGAGCAAAAAGUGAAGAUAUUUCAACCAAAAACAAGAUAAGAAGGAAGAAAAUCAGCUGGUCAAAAUUGAUGGCCGACAUGCCACGUCACAAUCCGGCCGGAAUUUGGCCGGAUUCAAGGCAGUGGCAAAAAUCAUUUUUUUCAAAUCCCUCAAGCCGGAUUUGGUACAAAACAUUUUCAGCAAAAAUUUUCGUUUCUUUUCCUUUCGGGCGUCACAUAGUCACUUUAGGAUAUAUUGCAUGAUUUAUGCUUGAAUCAUGAAAGAAAGUUGAGAUUUUGGUUAGAAAUCAACAUGUAUGUAACAUGUUUUGGAUGAAACUUCCAACUUUGAACCAUGGUUAAAUUCCAGCCUUUAUUUCGAAAAUUUGUUUGGUAUUUUACUGAAAAUUCUUGUCAUAUACCUUGGUUUAGUAUGAUAUUUACAGCCUUGUUUGGUAUUUGUUUUGGUGUUAUAAAUCUAAAUGCUAUAAGGAAAAAUAGAAUGAUAUCGCUGGAUUUUCUUGCUUGAAACCCGAGAGCAUGUAGCAACAAUUUUUUUAAAUUUAGCUCUAAAAUGUUGGCUGCAAACUUGCACCUUUUGGCUCCUUAAACUUUUAAUGUUUUAAUCAUGACAUGUAUGAAUACAUUCACUGGUUUUUGGGAGAAAUUUGAAGUAAUAAUGGUGAAAAAAAUUUUGUUAUAAAAAAAGGGGGCCGAGAGUGAGGGUAAGAUUUCCGACCUUAUUUCCAAGAAUUUGGUUACAAAACUCUCUUCAUUUCAACCUACAUAUUUGAUGACCCUUUUAAACUAGAGUUUUAUGUGAAUAUCCACUUGAUUUGACUAAGAUAGUUAAUAGUGACAAAAGGUCUAGUAUUUGUAGAUUCAGCAUAUCUCAGGAGUCGGUGGUGAGAUAGAAGGAAACCCUGAUGCCGAGGUGUGACUUUUCACUCGAUUUGGUGAGUGUUCUACAUUUAUUUGUAAUGAUUGAAUACUUGAUGAAUGAUAAAUGUUGAGUGCCUAGUUGACUGAUACUUGUUGGAUUAUUGACGUUUGAAUUGUUUAGAGUGAAAAAUUGGCAAUUGCUACUAUUUUACUGAAAAAUGAGUGCGUACUUCAUUGCACUCAACCUAAUGACUUUUGGAACUGUUACUGUUAACUGUGCAUGACCAUUUUGGACCCAAAUCCCAUCGACGGUCGGCCUAUUCGAGCCAACAACGGGUUCGGUCAAGUAGGUCGAUUGUGCUUGGGUACCGUUUAAUGGUAUACUCGAGUGUGGCCUACGGAGGUGAUCAUUGAACACUAGAAGAACGAAAAAUAUUGGUUACUGUUUAACUGGGGAAAUGACAUUGAAUUACUGAACGAAGAUAAGUGCUACGUCUAAAAACGAACGGGAGCCACCUCUAGAGUCUGUAUCAGUACCGUAUCGUUUGAUAUUAAUUGAUUUGUUAUUCCUAUUACAUUAACAUGUUUUAGAAUGUUAAUCGUUAUGAAACAUGUUUUUUGUUGAAAUGUGAAUUCUAUGAUUCCAUUGAAUUAACGUGAAACCUCAUUAGGCAUUAACUCAACCCCCUUUAGUUAUUUUCCUUAUAGGAGUGGAGGACGGGGUGAGAAGAAGCCGGUAGUAUAAGUUGGAGACUUGAAUGUGUGCUUAGGUGAAUUUGUACUUAACGUUAAAACUUUGCAGACUUUGUUUUGAGAGAUGUACAUGUUAAAUAGUUUAAGAUAGUUUUGUUUUUGAUAGAGAACGUACUUGAGAGUAAAUGGUUUAUUAAUAGUUUAGUCUAUAUAAAUGUUAUCUCUGAAAUUAAUGUGAGUGAGUGAGUCCUGACGAGAGCCAGACAGGCGGUCUAUUAAACCCUAGGGUUCGUCCUAAGGCGAGGUGGGAUCGCCACAUAACUACUCCCACUAUUUGAAAUAAUUCUAAAUGUAGCCAUCAUGUUUUGGCAAUCUAACCUCCUAAUUUACCAUAGGUACUUAAUCCAUCCAAGACUAUACGACAUUAAGGAUGAAUAAGCCUGCAAAAUGACAAUUCACAAUUAAAAGUUACUAAUUAAAGAACAAAUUAAAUUUGGUCUAUACCAUAAAAAACCAUAGGCCUAAAGUUGGCUUCUUGUGUUACUAAGCCUAUGGCAAGUAUCAUUUACCUUGCCUGCAAUGGCACAACCACAACAUUCACAAAACAUUAUCAUGGAAAACUAGUAAUAAUCAAACCAAUGUACUUUAAUUGCAUUAUUCAAGAUAUGAGAACCUCAAGUUACAUAAGAGUUGUUUUUUAUUUUUCAUUUUUAAUCGUUACAGAAGAAAGGGCAAAAAAUGGAAGGCGGAUCUAUCCUAUUUGACAACUUAUCACCACUAAAGGGAACAGUCAACCAACUGCCAAACUUCUAUUAACACACUUCUCAAGUCAAUAAACAUAUAAAUUGAAAAUACACCACUCAAACAACUAACCGACUUCUACCCAAAGGAUAUUUCAAAAGGCAAUAAAAUCGGGCACAAAGUUAGGAUACCUCUAUUCAAAAAUCUAAAGCUACCAGAUCAGUCAACUUUGCUAUCUUAAGCACAAAAUUGGUAGGGAAAAAGGAUUAUAUACAAAUUGUAACUCUUUAUUACAUCAGACUAAAAAGUCUAUCCAGUAAAUCCUAUUGAUAUCUCCAGAACUUGACAACCAUAUGUGACUUAAUUCCCCAAUUCGACCCCUGUCAUCAAACCUUAAGUAACUCAAAAGGUGAAAAACACUUGAAAAUCAUUUUCAUAUCCAUUUUAACAAACAUUAACAGUUAAAAUCACCAUUUUUGCUCUUUUAUAUUUGUUAAGUGGAGAAAAUGUAGAUUGCAGCCGGGGGAGGGGGAGGGUGGUGGGGGAGGGAGAGGGAGGAGAAAGGUGGCGGGAGAGAAGGGAGGAGGAGGGGAGAAAGGAGGGGAGGGAAGGAUGAGAGGGAGAGGGAGAAGAGAAAAAAAAAGAGGUGGCCCAUAUUGGGUCUUGGCUGGCGGCAAAGGUGGUGGCGGGUUGAGGUGGAAGAAGAAAGGAGGAAGGAAAAUUUUUUUUGUGUGUUUUGGGUAUUUUAAAGUGUGUAGUUUAAAAUUUUUGAGAAGAUUUUGAACUUAUUGUAGUUAAAGUUGUUAAAAAUUUGGUAGGAAACAAACUUGGCAAAAACUCACUUUGCCAAACAGGGCCUUAAUUUCCAUGCAAUAAAUUUCCCAAGCGGAGUUAAUUUGAUUUUUUUUUGGUAAGAGGAGUUAAUUUUAAUUCCUAAUAUAUAUAUAUAUAUAUAUAUAUAUUUAUAUAUGAAAGUAGCUAUUUUAACCAUAGUGUUUCUCACUCCUAUGUGACAUGCCUAAUUGAAGAGAAUUAACGGAUUAUGGAUCACUUGGAUUUUACCCAUACUAAAUCUUAAUUGGAUUAUAUUAUGUGUUUAAAAAUUAUCUCUAAUUUUAAAAUAACUUUAAAAAAUAAUUAAUCUUAUCUUAACGAUAUCUGCUUCGUAUCAAAUUAUUAUAAUGAUUAUAUUAUAUGUUUAAAAAUUAUCUUUGAUUUUAAAAUAACUUUAAAAAAUAACUAAUCUUAUCUUAAUGAUAUCUGCUUUCUAUCGAAUUAUUAUAUAAAAGUAUAGUAAAACCUUUUAAAAUCACAAUUAUUGAAAUCUUACACAUUCUAUAAAUUACUUCCUUUCACCACCAUAUCAUUGAUUAGUAUCUAAAUUGUUCAUCAUUUCUUCUUAAUUUUGCAUUAACUUAGAAUAAAAAAAAGAAUUAACUGUUACACCAAUGGAUUUACCAAUAUUAUUGAAAAUUGAAUAUUUAUUGAUGAAGAAAAAUGGAUUAAUAGAUUUUUUUCUACUUAAUUAAGUAUGAAUAUAUAAUUCUAGAUUUAUGGCCAUUAUAAAAAUUUAAAUUAUCUAAAAGAAUAAUUAUAAAAAAGAAUAUCUACUAAGUUUUGGAUAUGAGGUACAUUAUUCGAUGUAUACUAUUAUAUUACAGUGAAAGUAUGUAAACAAAUUUUUAAAAAUUAGAAAAUAAUUGAACAUUUAAAAUACAUUAAUUUUUUAAAUUAAUAUGAAUGAACAUGUAGAACUAUUGUUAAUUUUUUUUAUUUAAAUUAUUUAAAUUUGUAUAAAUUAAAAAAAAAAAACCGUGCUAAGGCAUGGGUAAAUUUCUAGUUUGAAUGUAAUAUAUUUCGCACAAUCAGAUAGUUGACCACAAGCCAGACUAAUGUCUAUGAAUUUUGCUCGCAAAAGGAACCACACACCUGAACCUGAAGAAGGAAAGUCGGCACACCUAGAGGUUGAAUAGAAAUGCCAUCAGAGUUGCUCUAAAUUACCGAAUAACUGGUCCAUUUUCACUGUAGCAACCCUGUGACGGCCCCACCUCCCCCCAGGGCGUACCCCAGGAUUUGGCGGGUCGCCUGCGCAACUCUCGCCAGAACUCACUCACUCAUAAUUCAAGAAAAAAAUAACAUACAUCCACAGAAAAUAAAUAACACAUCCACUUCAACUUAAUAUAUACAUUGAUGCUCAAAUCCAGAUACAAAGCUUCUACACACCAAAAUACUUCAAAGUGUUUACAAUUCGAGUACAAUCAACCCUAGUCGAGUGCUAGCGUGAGUACCAUUUCAAAACUUCAAAACUAGACUAUUCUGUACCAGUCUCACGCCUCACUCGUACCCCUGUAAGGAAAACAAAUGGCGUUGAAUGAGCUAAAAGCCCAGUGAGAUUCCAAAUAGCAAGUUGACUAUUAUUUAAAAGUGCAAGUAUCACGUAGCAAACUAAUGAGUAUGAAAAGUUCAUAAAAGUGAACAAUAACAUUUUAAGUAGCAAAUCUCAAAGUGAGCGAGUGUAAAGUUUUUCUUUUAAAACGAAACAAUAACACGAUAAGUACUAAUCAUUCCAAAGUAUAAGGAUACGGAUGGCUCUCAGGAGCCAAAUUCCUAUUGCAUCAUCAGAGUUUGAUCAAGUAAUAGUUGACACUCCGUCAACUUCAAGUAAGUAACCAAUCCAGUAGAGAACCAUUUAAACUACUCUCCGUCCACCAUCCAAACCACUUACCGGGCCCGUACUCCACAAUAAACAUUGGUGGUAAUACUCGAGUAUACCGAUUAGUCGAAAAGAUAACACUCCACUCGACAUCACUAACUACCCAUGGUUCGUUAUCUAAUCGACCAAACCCUUGCCGGCUCGACUCGAUUAACUAGCCAGUGGGGUUUGGGUCCCCAAGAUGUCGAUGAGAUAACAUCUCCAAUCGACUGAAUCAAAAUAAAAGUACGGAGACGGGAAUGAGAGGCACCUCCCACUCAGAUUGAGUGUGGUACAUACUGCCGCUCCGCAUUUACAAUUCAAGUACAAGUAUAUCAAUUUAAUUGAAACAAUAAACAAGUAUAUACCACAUUAGGACAAGUGCGAUAAAGUACACUCUUACCCGAUCAAACAAAUCACAUAUCAUUUAUUUACAUUGAUCAAGUAUUGAAAAUAAGUGUCCAGUUCAACCAAGUAUUUGGAAGCACUCACCAAAAUGUAGUACUUUUCAAAAAUCACGUUCAGGUCCAACUCCUUGGUUGGAGUCCAAAUCUGCGAUAAAAUAUCAUUGACGAAUGUAAAACUCUCUAGAGUUCGAAACAUAGGAGUUUCACUUCAAGAAAAUCAAGUAAAUGCAACUCAUUUAAAUAGUAUUCAAGAUACUUAUCAAAUCUCGAAAAAUUUAUGCUCGCUCGUUUAGUUUCGGUAAGGAAACGGUUAUAACUUUGGAACUCCCAUUGGAGUCGAAAGAACGAGGAAAAUGUAUUUCUAUUGAUUAUUACUUUCAUUUUUCAAGGGUAUGAGCUUCCGGCAAAAUUUUAGCUUAUAUACCCUGAUUAAAGAAAACUCGAAUACCAUAGGCGAUCCAAGUCCAACUUGACCUCAAAUCCCUAUUUAAGUCGCGAGUAUAUCUACCUAUCCCUCGAGUGCAAAUUUGGGCAGCACGCCCCUUAUAUUUACCUAUUUCCAGCCAUUUAUGGCUCCAUUUUUUUCCUCAAUCAGCCCCCAAAAUCACACACAAAUAAUCUCAUUACAAUAGCCGUUCAAUAGGAUAAAAGUCAUUCAAUUACAAAACCAAGCUAGAAAAGUGAGCGGAAAUAAGCUUUAAAGCAAAGAACAAAAUAACAAGUUUGACGUCCUUUAGCGUAUUGGUCACAAUUGAAGCUACGCUUAUUGGAUUGCAUUGAAUUUUAUACCUCUACGAAGCUAAGACAAAGGGAUACAACUUUCAUGAAGCCCACUCAAUCCGGUUCACAAUUUAUCUAGGUCAAAAGUACAGAUUACUGAACCAGAAUGUCCUUGUCAGUACGGUUGUUAGUACUGAAUUCGAAUGACGAUAACUCAGGCUACAAAAGUCCGAUCGAGGCGUUUUCAGGUGAGUUGAAAAGGUAGGACAUAACACUACAACUUUCAUGUUUUGGACAAAUGCUAAUUUGAUAUGAAUCAAGGUGAAAAAAUGCGGCCAGAAUGAUGAAAUGUCAAAACUGUCCACAGAACUCUACCUAUGGCAGUCAAGGGUAUUUUUGUCAUUUCACAUGAUACCGUGCUCGGAUUGUGCUGAAAGAUUGUAGGAAGAUAUAAAACAUCAUUUCCUACAACUUUCAUGUUUUGAGCUAAGCCUAAUUCGGCCUCCAUCAUGGCCAAAUAGAUCUGGUCCGAACAGGGUAACAUAAAAACUCAAAUAUGGAAUUUAGUGAAUUCAAAGUGUAAAUUUCGCAUUUCUAGCUUAAACCACUACUACAACUUACUAUACAAGAUUAUAUAUACCAUAUACCAUCCAAACAACAAGAAAUAUAAGUGAACAAUUCAACACCCUAACUCAAAAUUCUAUCACCACAAUCAUUAAAAUCACUUAAAAUAUUAGGUAUCACAAUGCAAGAAUACAAGUUGCUUCAUAACUUAAGCAAGACCAAGGGAAAUGGAGAAGAUGGACAGCCAUAAUACCUCAAUAAAAGGCUUCCAAGGGAUAUCCUUCACCUUUUCUUGGAAAAUUUUAGCUCCCCAAGCUUCCUAAGCUCUCAAAUUAGAAGUUAAUCGGUUUAGUUUUUUUUAUUUCUCACUCAAUCAAGCUAAGCUCAAAAUGAAAUUGAAGUUUUCUUCCUCUUGUUUUUCCCUCAAGACUCACGGCUGGAAUGGCUGAAAAUGAAGAGCAAUUUGAGUGAUUUUUGGUGUUAAAUAUGGAAGAAAUUGGUUGGUCAACAACCUUUGGAUGACCGCCACUUGUCGCCAUGAGAUUAACUCUCAAUUUUUUUCUUUUCCUUGGCCUUUUCUAGUCAAUAAUUUCGGCCAAGAUGAGUUGAGUAAGGGGCUGAUAUUUUGCACUAAUAUCAAUGAUAUUUUAUGGUAAGAAAGUAGUGGUCAAGUGGUGUGUUCAAUCGGCAGUGAACGAUACCCGUCGGUUCAAGCCAAUUUUCCUUAAAUCGCGUAUACUAGGGUUUUAACUUAUAAUUCACUAAUUUAUUAUUAUCACUUCUAAUCACACACUUAAUAUCAUCUAAAACUCACUCUUAAUCACCAAAUUUGAUCCACACUCCGUAUAGAUUAGUCACACUACGAAAAGGCGUAAAAACCCUAAUUUGCGAUAACUUGAAAAUGAAAGGGAAAAUCCUUAAUUUUAUGUUCAUUUGCACUUUUUUGUAGGGUGAUUGGGUAGUAAGGCUAUUAUAACGUAAUAAUUUCCAAAUAAAAGGGAAUUUUAAGAAAAAUAUAAGGAAAUUUUCCAGUCGUCACACUCUUUCCCCCUUAAAGAAAUUUCGUUCUAGAAAUUUUCUUACCACCAGGAUUGAUAAAACCCUAAGUUAAAUGGCAGAUCAUACCUUCUACGUUCUCUUCCCCUUUCGAUGGUCCAGGGUUGGUCUUGGUCGAUUGCCGGGUCCCUUUCCCUUCCCGUAAUAAGGCCGGACAAUUAGCAAUCUAAUGCUUGGCGCUCCCACAUCGCAGGCAUUCUCCCCCUCUUUUCCAACAACUCUCCUUAGUAUGGUUGAUUUUUUCACAAUAGCCACAGGAUAAGUGGAGGAUUGAUGUUUGAUCUCCUUGUGAGACAGCUUUCAGUUGUCCUUCUCCCCCUGAGGCUUCUCUCGGAGUAUCUUCUUUAGAUGUUCCCAAAAUUUUCACACCACUAGCUCCUCGACCUACCUUAAAGAGUGGCCUACCUCGAUCACCUUGUUCUUGAUUUUGACUUCCACUAGGUGCACCCCUUUUCUUUGCAUGGAAGCCUUUCACUUGUGCCCUUACAGUUUCUAUCCUUUGGGCUUUCUCCGGAUCCUUCGUAAAAGUAUUAAUUUAUGCCAUUGCUAAAACCUCUUUGGGAAUCCCUUCGUAUUGCCUUUUUAGUUCUAUGUUCUCGUGCAAUAGCUCAAUUUUCUCUGAAUAUUCGUGUUUCCAUUGCCCUUCCCAAUACUCGGCUAGUCUCUUUUGGACAUUUAUUUCGUUUCGAAGGAUCUCGAUUUCCUUAUAUAUAUCAUCCAAAUGUGCCAUCUCACGGAUUUACUGGGACUCAAGUGAUAGCCUGCCAGACAGAUUAAUGGAGCAGAGUAAGUAACUAAGUACAAGUGGCAAUCUAACCAUAUAACUGUUAAAUUUCUUAACUCCCAAUUCAACCACGAAAGAUCAAAUGAAAUAGACGGGAAAGUAAAAUAUAAUUAGAACAAUAUCUUAAGAUACUAUGCCACGUAUCACGUAUGUAUAUAACAAAACCUUAAAGCAUAUUUCGCACAUCAAAAGUUUCAAACCUUAUGCCACAUCCGUGUUUUAACAAUCUCUCUACCUAACUCCAAAGCUUUCACUCACGGUACAAUAAUAAUCAAACUAAGUUCAUACGUUGACAGUAGUGAAUAGGUAUCAAGGAAGCAUAAACAAGGGUAGUUCGUCGAGAACCAAGUUACAAGUAUCAAAUAUUCAAAGCGAGGUAUAGAUACCUAUAUCAUGGCAGUCAGACCGUCUCGAAUCAAGUAAACACUUUUCUAGACCUCACGUUUAUAGAAGAAAGAAAUAGAUCUUCGGUGCGAAUUUCUUGACAUAUACUACAACUUAAUCAUACUCUAUAGGAACCCUAGCCAGACUAUUACUCGAUUCGUCCAUGAUAACACUCCUAAAUCCAAUCCCCUCUAUCAGUCUAUUUACUAGACCAAAUGUUAGGAUCUUCCAUGCCUUUACCUUCGCCAUCAAAACUCACCUCAAGUGCAGUCAGGAUACAGGCCUUUAUUCUAGUGGUUUCACUACUGGAUAUUCAGGUACAAGAAUCCACAAUAAGGUAAUUCACAACUCGAGCCGGCCGGUCCCAAGAGUAAAUCACCCGUAUUAGAGAUUCCUACCCAACAUACAUAUUUAAGGUCCCCAACAAUAGACCUUUAUUUCACAAUUAAUAAGCCAAUCCCCAGAGUCCGAGAACCCUCUCCCGGCACAAGCUCGAUAGGAGCUCUGAUACCAUCUGUGACGGCCCCACCUCCCCCUAGGGCAUACCCCAAGGUUCGGUGGGUCGCCUGCCCAACUCUCGCCAGGAUUCACUCACUCAUAACUCAAGAAAAAAAUAACGUACAUCCACAGAAAAUAAAUAACACAUCCACUUCAACUUAAUAUAUACAUUGAUGCUCAAAUCCAGAUACAAAGAUUCUACACACCAAAAUACUUCAAAGUGUUUACAAUUCGAAUACAAUCAACCCUAGUCGAGUGCUAGCGUGAGUACCAUUUCAAAACUUCAAAACUAGACUAUUCUGUACCAGUCUCACACCUCGCUCGUACCCCUGUAAGGAAAACAAAUGACAUGGAAUGAGCUAAAAGCCCAGUGAGAUUCCAAAUAGCAAGUUGACUAUUAUUUAAAAGUGCAAGUAUCACGUAGCAAAGUAAUGAGUAUGAAAAGUUCAUAAAAGUGAACAAUAACAUUUUAAGUAGCAAAUCUCAAAGUGAGCGAGUGUAAAGUUUUUCUUUUAAAACGAAACAAUAACACGAUAAGUACUAAUCAUUCCAAAGUAUAAGAAUACGGAUGGCUCUCAGGAGCCAAAUUCCUAUUGCAUCAUCAGAGUUUGAUCAAGUAAUAGUUGACACUCCGUCAACUUCAAGUAAGUAACCAAUCCAGUAGAGAACCAUUUAAACUACUCUCCGUCCACCAUCCAAACCACUUACCGGGCCCGUACUCCACAAUAAACAUUGGUGGUAAUACUCGAGUAUACCGAUUAGUCGAAGAGAUAAUACUCCACUCGAUAUCACUAACUACCCAUGGUUCGUUAUCUAAUCGACCAAACCCUUGCCGGCUCGACUCGAUUAACUAGCCAGUGGGGUUUGGGUCCCCAAGAUGUCGAUGAGAUAACAUCUCCAAUCGACUGAAUCAAAAUAAAAGUACGGAGACGGGAAUGAGAGGCACCUCUCACUCAGAUUGAGUGUGGUACAUACUGCCGCUCCGCAUUUACAAUUCAAGUACAAGUAUAUCAAUUUAAUUGAAACAAUAAACAAGUAUAUACCACAUUAGGACAAGUGCGAUAAAGUACACUCUUACCCGAUCAAACAAAUCACAUAUCAUUUAUUUACAUUGAUCAAGUAUUGAAAAUAAGUGUCCAGUUCAACCAAGUAUUUGGAAGCACUCACCAAAAUGUAGUGCUUUUCAAAAAUCACGUUCAGGUCCAACUCCUUGGUUGGAGUCCAAAUCUGCGAUAAAAUAUCAUUGACGAAUGUAAAACUCUCUAGAGUUCGAAACAUAGGAGUUUCACUUCAAGAAAAUCAAGUAAAUGCAACUCAUUUAAAUAGUAUUCAAGAUACUUAUCAAACCUCGAAAAAUUUAUGCUCGCUCGUUUAGUUUCGGUAAGGAAGCGAUUAAAACUUUGGAACUCCCAUUGGAGUCGAAAGAACGAGAAAAAUGUAUUUCUAUUGAUUAUUACUUUCAUUUUCCAAGGGUAUGAGCUUCCAGCAAAAUUUUAGCUUAUAUACCCUGAUUAAAGAAAACUCGAAUACCAUAGGCGAUCCAAGUCCAACUUGACCUCAAAUCCCUAUUUAAGUCGCGAGUAUAUCUACCUAUCCCUCGAGUGCAAAUUUGGGCAGCACGCCCCUUAUAUUUACCUAUUUCCAGCCAUUUAUGGCUCCAUUACUUUCCUCAAUCAGCCCCCAAAAUCACACACAAAUAAUCUCAUUACAAUAGCCGUUCAAUAGGAUAAAAGUCAUUCAAUUACAAAACCAAGCUAGAAAAGUGAGCGGAAAUAAGCUUUAAAGCAAAGAACAAAAUAACAAGUUUGACGUCCUUUAGCGUAUUGGUCACAAUCGAAGCUACACUUAUCGGAUUGCAUUGAAUUUUAUACCUUUGCGAAGCUAAGACAAAGGGCUACAACUUUUAUGAAGACCACUCAAUCUGGUUCAUAAUUUAUCUAGGUCAAAAGUACAGAUUACAGAACCAGAAUGUCCUUGUCAGUACGGUUGUCAGUACUGAAUUCAAAUGACAAUAACUCAGGCUACAAAAGUCCGAUCGAGGCGUUUUCAGGUGCGUUGGAAAGCUAGGACAUAGAACUACAACUUUUAUGUUUUAGAAAAAUGAUAAUUUGAUACAGAUCAAGGUGAAAAAAUGCGGCCAGAAUGAUGAAAUGUCAAAACUGUCCACAGAACUCUACCUAUGGCAAUCAAGGGUAUUUUUGCCAUUUCAUGUGUUACAGUACUAAAAUUGAGCUGAAAUUUUGUAGACAGAUAUAAAAUAUCAUUUUCUACAACUUUCAUGUUUUGAGCUAAGCCUAAUUCGGCCUCCAUCAUGGCCAAAUAGAACCGGUCAGAACAGGGUAACAUAAAAACUCAAAUCUGGAAUUUAGUGAAUUCAAAGUGUAAACUUCACAUUUCUAGCUUAAACCACUACUACAACUUCCUAUACAAGAUUAUAUACACCAUAUACCAUCCAAACAACAAGAAAUAUAAGUGAACAAUUCAAAAGCCUAACUCAAAAUUCCAUCACCACAAUCAUUAAAAUCACUUAAAUUAGGUAUCACAAGGCAAGAAUACAAGUUGCUCCAUAACUUAAACAAGACCAAGGGAAAGGGAGAAGAUAGACAGCCAUAAUACCUCAAUAAAAGACUUGCAAGGGAUAUCCUUCACCUCUCCUUAGAAAAUUUUAGCUCCCCAAGCUUCCUAAGCUCUCAAAUUAGAAGUUAAUCGGUUUAGUUUUCUUGAUUUCUCACUCAAUCAAGCUAAGCUCAAGAUGGAAUUGAAGUUUUCUUCCUCUUGUUUUUCCCUCAAGACUCACAGCUGGAAUGGCUGAAAAUGAAGAGCAAUUUGAGUGAUUUUUGGUGAUAAAUAUGGAAGAAAUUGGUUGGUCAACAACCUUUGGAUGACCGCCACUUGUCGCCAUAAGAUUAACUCUCAAUUUUUUUCUUUUCCUUGGUUUUUUCUAGUCAAUAAUUUCGGCCAAGAUGAGCUGAGUAAGGGGCUGAUAUUGUGCACUAAUAUCAAUGACAUUUUAUGGUAAGAAAGUAGUGGUCAAGUGGUGUGUUCAAUCGGUAGUGAACGAUACCCGUCGGUUCAAGCCGAUUUUCCUUAAAUCACAUAUAGUAGGGUUUUAACUUAUAAUUUACUAACUUAUUAUUAUCACUUCUAAUCACACACUUAAUAUCAUCUAAAACUCACUCUUAAUCACCAAAUUUGAUCCACACUCCGUAUCGAUUAGUCACACUACAAAAAGGCGUAAAAACCCUAAUUUGCGAUAACUUGAAAACGAAAGGGAAAACCCUUAAUUCUAUAUUCAUUUGCACUUUUUUGUAGGGUGGUUGGGUAGUAAGGCUAUUAUAACAUAAUAAUUUCCAAAUAAAAGGGAAUUUUAAGAAAAAUAUAAGGAAAUUUUCCAAUCGUCACAAACCCAACUCUCACUUUUAGUAUAGUAACUAGUGCGACGGCCUGCGCGAUGCGCAGGGGGACUAAUAUUUCCCUUGUUAAUUGUUUUUUGUUGUAUGAAUUUAUUAGUAUAUAUCUAUAUUAUUAUUUAAUUCAUGUGAAUCAUUAGGGAAUUAUAAUUUUUGUUAAAAGUUAAUUGUUAUGAAAUAUAUAGAAUGCAUGAGGACGCUUAUAUAGAAUGCAUAAGGAUAAAUUAGAAAAUUGUAUAAGGUUAUUUUGCAUUUGGAUUAGGAUAAUUAGAAAAUUGUAAAGUGAAUCAUUCCCGAAGAGUAUUAAUCAUUGUUAACACAAAAAAUAGGGGAUCCCGAAAGUCAAUUAAGCACUUGAACCAUAGAACUUGACAUUGCUAAAAAUAAAUCACCACAUGUCACAGUAAUAAAACCCAUUUUUAAAAGUUACUAAAGCCAACAAUAGUUUAUUAAUUGUUUCCUCAAUAAUUGUGCAUUUACAGAACACUUAACAAUUUUAUUUCAUGUCACAGUAAUAAAAGCCAUUUUUAAAGUCACUAAAGCCAACAACAAUUUAUCAAUUAUUUCCUAGGUAAUUUUGCAUUUCCAGAACACUUCAAAGGCAAAUAAUUAACCACAAAAAAUCAACUUUCAUAGGUUUCACUUUUUACACCACCAAUUACGAAUUCAGUCAACAUGUCCAAUAAAUGCACCAAAACUAUAGAAACUGUUAACAAACAAACAGACAAUUGAUGAAAAUAGCCCUAACAUCUAAUAACAAUUGCAGGAUAAUCGCUUGACAAAAAAAACACUGUGCAUAGGGCAACUUUUCUUUUUAUAUUGUUAGAUAUGUAUAUCUCUAUUACUCACUAAGUUCGAUAACUAUAGGCCUAUUUCUUUUUCCAUUAAUAUUAGAUCAUUAAUCCACAGUAAAAGACAUGUAUUAUUACAUAAUUUUUCAAAUUUAGAGUACUUUAAUUUUCAAAUGUAAGAAAUAAUCUAAUUAAUGUUACAUGUUUAAAUAAAUAAUAUAAAAAGAUUAGCACACAACAUCGCUUUUCAAUUUACAGCAAUUUAGAGCCAUUAGAAAGAACAAAUAUGUUAAAAAUUUUAUAAUAAUUAUAUAUACACUAAACAUGGAUAUAUUAGUAAAAUAAUAAACUAAUUAUUCUUUUAAAAAGGAAAUAGACUCAUAAUCUAGCACACAUAGAAGACAAAAGUAAGCUCAUGUUUAUAGAAUAUAUAUAUAGAAUGAAAAGUAUAACAAUAAAAAUAAGGGAAUUAAAACACCUAAGGCUAAACUAAUGCUCAUAAAUAGCUAAGGUGGCCCAUCUCUACGGAUCACAAGGGGCAAACAUGACUCAAACAAAAGGGGAACAAAGAACAAAUAAAUUACAAAGGAACCACAAUACUAUAGCAUGCAUCUUCCGGUGUCCUGAGUGAGGGAGAAACAGCAAAUGACAUUACCGAAAAAUGAAGCACCACUAAGGCUAAUGCUAAUCACAUGAAGAGGCCCAUGCGGACAGAAGUGAAUUUCCAGCAAAACCAUUGCCAUCCAAUGCCAAAAGACCAAAACGCGCCUCAAAGUCACCAAAAUAACGGCAUAACCGCUUGAUAAAAUGGCAUUAUUCAAAACCCAACUCUCUCUUUUAUAUCUUAGAUGAUAUGCGAGUUUAGAUACUAAAGUUUUGGUAAGAACAAAUCCGAUUCCCAAUUUAUUUAACUAAAAGCAGAUUUAGGACAUCUAAAGAUUUUCAAAAACACUUUAGUCAUAUGCAAUUAUGUGUCAGUUAAAUUGAAUUUAAUAUAGAGAAGCAAAAUAGUAGCUAAUUUUAAAGAUAAGAUUAAGGUGUAAUAACUCACAUGCUAACUCAUUAAUCAAUAAAAAAGAAAAAAUAAAUUAAUUAAACUACAAAAAUUUUCUGCGUAUUUCUCUAUCCCUAUUGUCUCCAAGCAAACAAUCCUAACAGUCAAUCUUUACAUAUGGUUUAACAAGUUUCCUUUUUUUUUCCCAUUUCUUGUUUAAUUAGUUACAUGCUAUUACAUGAGUUAUUCUUAUAGUUUAAAGUUGGCCGCUCUCAUUCUUCUUUAAAAUAAAAUUAAAUUUAACAAGUACGCAAAUGCACGUAACUGAUUCCUCAAUAAUUGGAAAAUCUAUCAAUUCUAUUAAUCUGCUCCGCAUUGAAAACAUUUGGGACCAGAUUUAUUUUUUGUCAAAAUUUCAAGGACUUAAAUUGCACCAGAUACUAAAAAUUGGGGACCAAAGUUUUUUUAAACUUUAGAAACUAAAAUUGAACAUGUGCCAAACAUUAGAGACUAAAACUAAAUUUCUCCAUUAAUUUAAAAGACUUUUUUCUUUACUGAUUUUUGCAUGGGUUGCUAAUGUGUACUCUAUGGUACAUCAAGAUUAUAUAUAUGUAUGAUGUGGUAUGUCAACAUUACUUAUAAUUUACCACUUAUAUGCAAACACUCAUAUUUGCUAUUUUUCUUACUUUUAGACACUUUUUUUUGUCAUUUUGAUUGACAUCUUGGACAAAUCUUCAUUGUGCUUACAAGUAAAUUGCACUUCAUUCCUUAAAUACAUUUUACCAUCACUUUACUUUGUGAGUAAUUGUCAAAGCUUUUGCUAGAUUUUUCAUGUAUGCCUAAAUUAAUUUAUCCAUCUUUUUUCUUUUUUUCUUAUUUUUUCUUGCUUCUCUCAUAAAAUUACAUAUUUUUUCUAACUGUCAUUGUUCGUAUAUUUACAAUGUAAGUAUAGUAUAUCUUUAGCGUGCAAUUGUGAAUUUAUUGUGCCCUUUUUCUUCAUUUUGUUUCACUACACUUAAUUGAUUAGUCAUGGGCUUAAUUUGUUUGUUUAUCCAUCCCAUUUUGUUUGUCAUGGUCAACUUUGCACGCAAUUUAAAAUUUUUAUUCUUUGACCAACCAAUGAAUAUCUCUUUCCAUGAUUAUCCCUUCAUUUAAAUUCAAAUUUCAUUAUUUACUUAAAAAUUUCUGAAUCAUACAAUGGAUAGUUAGAGCAUUUAAUUUUAUAAAUUGACUUUAAUGCACUUUUUGGAAAAUUGACAGAAGAAUAAAAUGGAAAGGGUAGUCUUUUUUCAUUUCCUUUUUUAGACUAGAACAAAUAAUUCGGGACAAGUCAAAAUAGAAGUCAAGAAUAAUAAAAUGAGAUGGAAGAAGUACAUCAAUUAUUUUUCCUUUAGAUAUGCUUGGACAUGUAUUAAUAGUAAAUUUUAUUUCAAUCAAGAUCUCUAUUGGAUUAUCGACUAUGAAGAAUAACAGAUAAAGAAAGUACCAUAAAACUAAAUGAAUAAGUUAAAAAUUAAAAGAACAAGUAGAUUUUAUGUUCAGAAAUAAAAAUAGACAGAAUGAACUGAUGGCAUGAGAGAAACAAGACACUAAAGAAAGAAUAAUUAAAUUAAACUAGAAACUUAACAUUCAAGAGCAUACAACUUAUUAUACCAUUCUUUAAAAUGAAAAAUCUAAAAAAAUUAAAUUAACCUAUUAGUAAAAAAUGGGCAAAGUGUCAUCUUCUAAAUUGAUGUUCCAAUUUCUUCUUGACAUAGUUUCCCAUAAUUUAUGCCUUUUUCAAAGAAAAACUAAAAUAUUAGAGAGAGGAACCUUGAAUAAAGUACAAAAUUAUUCAAAUUAAACCUUUACCCUUUCAGUAGAUUUGUGUUUAUGAGAUCAAAACCUCGACUUUUACAAAAAAGAAAUUUAAAAUAGUGAUUUUUGACUGUCGGACAUCCAUUCCUACGGACAAUAGUCUAAACAGUCUAUCCAACAAAAGGUCAGUAACUAUUUAGAAUUUUUUUGGUAUAGCCUUUGAAUGCACAUUUUAGCAUUUAGCCAUUCAAACAUCGUCUUUUAUUCAAAAUUCAUAAGCCUAUGUAUGCAUUUUGCCCAAAACAACCUCAACGUUCUAUUGUGUGAACUGAAACCCUCAUUUUAUUAUCUCUCUCAAAUUUGUGGAUUUUUAGCAAAAUUUAACCCAAAUCGAUUGCAAACUCUUGUUUCUAACCCUUGAAGCACCUUUCCUUAACAAAAUUUCCCCUCAAAACAUUCAUUUCAAUCAAAGCUAAAAAUUCCCGCUUUUUCCCAAAUCUUUAAACUCUUGGAUUUUGGUGUUUUUGUGUAAUUUUGUUUGUGUUAUCUCACUCACAGACAUCCUUAGACCUAGUAUUGCACAAAUGGCAAGGAUUGGAAGCUCUUCAUCGCAAGACCGUGGAAAGGGACCUGGCAAUGCUUCUAGUAGUGAAACUAUGGCUUAACACACUCCGAAAGGACGUGGAAAUGGCUCUAAAUCAACCCGAGGGGCUCAACUACAAUUAUGGAAAUUCAUUGAUCCAAUGGUAGAUGAGAGGUACUCAGUUUUGUUCCAAAAAUGUUAUAUCACCCAACAUUCAAUUAGUACAUCUGAUUUUAAGAAAUUCAAGUUAGAUUGGGUUCUUGAAAAGUUUGCCUUUCAAAAAUGGUCUCAUGUAUUGCAUUUUUCUCAUGUCAUUUACCCAUCCAAUGGUUACUCAAUUCUAUGCUAAUACUUUUAAAAAUGAUGCUAUGGACGUUGUUAUUUUUCCAACCAACAGCAUUGAUAUUCAUCUCACUCCCCAAAUUGUGAAAUACUACUAUUAAGAGUGAAUGGAAAGGUAAAGUGGAAAAUUUCUUUUCUCAUGAAACUAUAUCUGAUGAAUUUAAUCACUAUCAUGAGAGCAAGCUGAUGACCUAUUUUACUACUAUUUUUCAAGCCCCUGGUGAUGCUAAUUUAGAUGAGUUAAAACCUCUUCAUCAUAUGUGUUUUAUUGUAGUGUCAAAUGUUCUUGUUCUUAUAGUGGCCAUAGGAAUGAAGCAAACAAAAUGAAACUUCAACUUUUUCUAUUUUGUUAAAUAAAAAUAUUAGAAUUGAUUUUGGGUUCAUCAUGCAUUAUUUUAUGAACAAAAUGGGGACUAAUAAAAGCCAAAAUUGUCCUUUGUAAAAUAUCUCACUUUUAUUUUUUAAUUAUUUUGGCGUUCCCCUAGUUGGUGCGUUACAAAAGAAAAAGAGCAUUCACUCUUAUACAAAAUCUUUUGAGCAUAAAAAUCUCGAGUUUCAUAAAGGUGAAUGGCUUACUUUAACCCAAUUUCAAAAGCUUGCAGUUCAAAAUCCCUCACUCAUAGCCUCUUCUUACAAAUGUGCUGAACAUCCUAGAAUAAUAAAUCCUUUUCUAUCUCAAUCCACUGCUUUACUCACUCCGUAUCCUAGGUAACCAUGUUCAUCUACUCAUUCUCAUUUGAGUACUUCAUCUCAAACCUCGGGAUCGAACCAAAUGGUCACUAUUAUUCGAAUUGAAGAAGCACAUGAUUGUUAAGGAAUAAGGACUUCAAUUGGUUAUGACUCUAGAUCAAAAGUUUUAAUAGCUUCAAUUAUGAAGAUAUUAUGGUCCUAAAUCAUCUAGUUUUGAUAAUUAACAAACCAAUCAUAAAGUACUAAUGGUUUACUUGAAUAUUUGUUGAUAGAAUUGAGCCAACAAAUGAGUGAGAAGUGAUUAAAAAUUGUUUGGAUAAUACUAACAAUGAAUAAAACAUGCCUAGAAGAUGACUAGAUCACGAGAAUUGAAGACUUGAAAUAGUUGCGAGAUGUCAAUAAAAAUAUCAACCAACCCGACGCCUAUUCUUGCUCAACCGGAUGAGCCUUCUUCAAGAUCCAGAUGUUCGUAUGCUUAGAAAUGCAAAAAUGGAAGCUGAAUAGAAUAGACCGGAUAACCUAGCAAAUGCAAUCUGGAUGCACAACCGAAUGCAUAAGGGACCCGGACGGGACCUCCGAUUGAUAGUUUUUGUCUCUAAUGGCUAGUUUUUUCUUGCAUUAAUUAUUUGACACUUGGAAGCCAUUUUAAACCAUAUUUUCACUGUCUAUAUAAGUCUUCAAGUCUAAAAUAGUUUGGACCACUUGCCUACAAGAUUACAAGUUUUGAAGGAGUAAUUUUGAGGGAAAAUACUCUUGUGUGUGAGUGUACUUGUAAUCUUAGUGAUGAUGAAAAAUAUAGUAGCUCUUAAUUGGUUGAGGGCAUUCAAUUGUAACAUAGUGAAAGUUAACUUGAGUAUAGUGGUAAAACUCUUUGACUCAACUAAAAGAUGUUUAAGGCGAGUAAAAAGUGAGCUUUCUUAUGUACAAGGUGGUUUCAAUUGAAGAAGUUACUAGUGGAUUCAACACCAACUUCAGAAGGAGUUUGGGAGUUUGAUUGGUUUGGAAUCCUUUUAUUUUAUUUUUCACUUUUCUUUUAUCUGAUUGUGUGGUUAAAUUACUUCAGUUUUAUUGCUAUUUUGUAUGCUUGAGUGGGUGAUCACUUAAGUUAUUUUGGAUAGUUAAAAUUGGAUGAAUAUUUGUAAUUAUUUGCUUAAUUUGUAAACAACCUAAUUUACCCCUUUUUAGAUUACUUUGGACCUUACAAUUGAUAUCAAAACUUGAUCUCCUAGAUAUUAAACUCAACUAGUUUGAGAGUGAAGAUCAUUAUGGCAACCAAUUUCUUGUUAAGUAGAUCCAUAAAUGGACCACCGAUAUUUAAUAGUAAAAUUUAUGAUGUGUGGAAGAAUAGGAUAGAAACCUUUAAUAAAUCUAUUGAUUUUUAGUUGUAGGAUAUUAUUGUAGAUGGUCCUUAUAAAGCUUUAAUCAUAAAGAAAGGAAAAACUAGAGAAAAAACUAAGAAAUAGUUGAAUGAGAAUGAUAAAAAAUGUUGGCAUAAAACAUACAAGUAUGGAUAUUCUUUUAAAGUUUUGGAUGAAAAUGAAUUAAAAAAAUAAAAUAUUGUAAAAGUACUCAAGAAAUUUGGAGAAUAUUAGAAAAAUCUAUGCGAGUAAAAUUCCUAAUUUUAGUGAAAAAAAAGGAAAAAUGUACAACAUCAAAAUCUUGUGAAGAGGAAAACAUUGACGGUGUAAUUACCAAAAAGGUUGUUAGAAGUUUGUAUGAAAAGUUAAGAAGAGCCAAUGAAUUGAAUAAGUGAUGACCCAGAAAACUAUUUUUCUCACAUCCCAACUAUUUGCAUUUUUAUUUAAAUUAUACUUUUAUAAAGUUUGCAUUCAUUUAGUGAUUUACUUGUUAAUUGUUAAAUGAGUUUCUUUUACUGGCUUAUUUUAACCUUCGAGUGAUUAAUUUCUUAAAAAUAUUUAUAGUAUUUGAUUUUACCAAAUUUUUGGUAUCCUCAUCUAUUAAAAUGUAAUUUUAUAUCUUAGUUAAAUUUUAUUGUUAAUUGCCCGGUUAUCGUUUGGUUAGCAUUAAGUGUGAAAUUUUGAAGUGGUGACGUGGAAUUUAGUCUUAAGAUAAAAUCUAGAGCAUGUAGACACUUUAAAGAAAUAGAAAAAUUAUAGGAUAAUGUUGGUUGAGGAAAAUCUAGUUUUGGAUAAGAUGUUGCAUAAGAAUGCGACACAUAAGCGAGUAGGUGAGUUGGUCCCCUAUCACACUUUAAAUGAAGAAACUAGAGUUGAGAGUUCAUUCUCUCUCUUCCCCUUAAGUCAACCGAAAUUUUGAGAGAGAGAGGGAGACUUGAGAGCUCUCCAUUUCCUCCUCCAUCUUGCUCUUGAGGAUCACUUGAAAACCCAUCAACCAGCACAAAAUUUUCUUCUUCUCUUUCUUCUUUUCUUGUUGAGGGCCGAGAGAGAGAGAGAACCGAGGAGGAGAGACAAAGCUGAGAGAGAGAGAGAGACAGAGACAGAGAGAGACACAGAGAGAGACACAGAGAGAGAGAGAGAGCAAUCAAGAGAGAAGGGACAUCCUCCAUCUUGCUCCUGUGGAUUUGUAGAAGAAAUCACCUAAUCAACCUAGAUGAUUUGACCUUUCUUAAGGAAACUUGAAGGGUGAAGGUUGGAAGGAAAUUUUGAGGUUGAAUCACACUAGAUCUAGUUAGAUAUUGAGAUAAGCACCACAAAUCACCCUUAAUUUUUAAUUUCUAGCCAUGGGUAUGUUAGAUUCACUUGAUUUAAGUAAGAUCUAUGGUAGAUCUAGUAAAUUUCUUGAAGUUAUAUCACUAGAUGUUCUAGUGGUUAAAAUGCUAGUUUAGUUCUUAAUUUGUUGGUUGGAUUUGCUUGGAAAUUAUCUUUUGAUGACCAAUGGCUAAUGAUUGAUGAAGCCCAUAUGGAUUUGAGUGAGUUUUGUUGACUAAAUGGUUGUUUUGUUGGUGAAAAUGGAAGAAAUCUCUAUGUCCACCAAAUGUUUGAUCUUUUGUGGAGGGCUGUUUAUGUGCAAAUUUUCAUGAUUUUUCUUGCUAAGAAUCUUGGCUAUAUAUUGUUUGAUAUGUUCAUGGAUUUGUUAUGGAAAAAUUUGGAAGAUUUGAUGGAGAAAUAUUUGGAAAAUUCUUGUGGAAAAAAUUCUGCCUUGGCUGUCCAAAACAGGGGAAGAUAUUCUAGCCUUGAUUUCUACUUUUUCGUAAUAUUUUUGGGCAAGUUCUUGUUCAAGAAACUAUUAAAAUAUCACUCUUUAUUUAUAUGUUGAAUUUGAACCAAAACUAUGAAUAUCUUUCUUGUUGGAAAGUUUGCAAAAUGGAUUGAAACUCAGAGAGCAUUUUCAGUCAAUUUGUCAGAUUUUCUGGUAUUAAUUGAAAAUGAAUUAGAGUCUAAAUUUUAUAUCAUUGGAAAGCUCUUUGAGUCUAGUUUCAAAUGCAACUAACGGCAUUCGAUUUCGAUUUUCCACAUUGAAUUAAAGCUGUUUUCCCGAUACUGCUCAAAUGCCUUGAUAUGACGCGAUAGCUUUCUUGUGCCUCUGUGAUUGCUAAUUUUGACGAUGAAAAUGCGUGAACUGAAUUUGGAUGUCUUCAUAAGAAAUGUAGAUCUGUGUCUUAGCUUCGAAACGCCAUAAAAUUCAUCUCAUUCGAUAAGUGUACCUCCAGUUAUGAUCAAAAUGCCGAGAGGUGUCAAAGCUGUUAUUUUGAUUCUUCUCAUUUGCACUCUUUCCUUCCCUUUUCUUGGUUCAAUUUAACAUUUUUCACUCUAUAUUAUAUCUGAACCAUUGACCUAACGGUGGAUGGGGAUUCGUGUCAAAUGAAUUCUACGGACUUGUUACUUGCGUGGUUGGUGGAGUGUCAACAAAAGAAAAUGAUAUCCAAAAUCGUGAAAUGGCAAGCUUGUGGAUUAGCUCAUUAGAGCUCCUGUAUUCUCUUAAUGAACGUGUUUUAGUCCUUUUGUGGUUUUACAUGAAACUAUUGUUGUUAUUCUGUACAUGUGUUACUUGAGUUGAAUUAUGGUGCUUGUUUCAUUUUCUUGCUUGCUUUUUCGGCCUCACUGAGCCUCCGCUCAUCCCUUUAAGUUUGUCAUUCUUUGACAGGAAUUUGAAGUGAAGAAUUGGAGGCGCUAGACUAAUCAACUUUUGUUUAGAGUUAGUGUAAUUCCCUGAGCGACUUUUGGACAUUUGGAAGUGUAGAUUUCAUUUGUAUUUGAUAUAUUAUGGUUGUAAUAGUUAACGCUAUUGCCUAAGGAUUGUGGCUGUUGUUAUUCAAGUAUUUUCUUAGUUUUAAAAAAUUGUUUGGCUUGAAAAUCUUGAUUGAGUUCAAGGGAUUAAGUAAGUCCUGACGAGAGUUGGGCAGGCAGUCCGCUAACCCUAAGGGAAGGUGGGGCUAUCACAGUUGGUAUUAGAGCUUUAGGCUUCAGAUCUUUGUAGUGUAUCCUAGACUUGAAGUUUAGGAUGUCAGGCUGUGGGAUUAACUUGAAUAUUACAUGAACCGGAGAACCUACUAUAUCUUAGUGGUUAAAGAGAAUUGUUACUUGAGAGUUUCUUAUAUGGGAUUGGUGGAAACAAAACUGAGGAAUUAUGUGGUGUUACAUCGAAAGGAAACAUUAUGUGAGAGAUUAGUAGUGAAAGAUUGGAUGAGAAUCGAAUUAUCUUUGUACUUGUAGGAAUGGAAGGAAUCGGUGCAAAUAUUGGUAUUAGCUGGAGAUAAGAAACCGAGAUUUGCUAGUUAAUUCCACAUAUGAUGGUUUUGAACCAAAACAAAAGAGUUUUCAAAGGAAUAAAAUACAUUUUUCACCUAUUUACCUACUGGAAAAUUUCCGUUUUACUAAGAUGUACUAGUUUUAUUUUCAAACGAUGGUUGAAAAUAACACCUAUAUGCUCCAAGUACUUUAUAACAUACCAAUCUUGACAAGUAUGCGAAUUCCACUUGAUUUUUAAAGCUAGAAAUUGGUGAGCAAUUGAUGAGUUUUGUUGAAUUUUUAUAUAUGUUGGACCGGAGAAAGAGGUUGAAGUUUUCUAACCAAGUCUUCCAAUUCUUGAUUGUACACUAAUAUAUUCUCGCACCUGAAUUUGCCUAUGCUUUGAACAAGAAAUCCUUGAGUUUUUGGAAGAAUUGCGAACUUGGGCUCUGGUAAUGUAAGUCCUGGAUUUGAUGAGAUUUUGUUACUUUGAUUGCUCUUCUUACGUUUUCAAAAAGCUUAUCCGAGAUUUGAAUAUGAAAUUCUUGGUUUUCAAGAAGAGAGCCUAUUUUCAGGUGUAAGAACUGAGGGAGUUUUGAAGAUGUAGAGUGAUCGCAUCCGAGAGCUUGAAGUUAGUGUGAUCGAGGAGCAAGAGUGUACUAAUGAUUUCGUGGAUAGUUCUAGGAGUUCCAUAACUGCAUUGACUAAAGGGAAAGACUGUUUAGAGAUAAAAUGGAGAGGCUAAAGUUUGAUAAAGUGUAAUGGUGAAGGUUAGGACAUGAAAGAUCUGAGUGCUAGAUCUAAGACUGAACAAAUUAAAGAGAUUGGAUUUAUGAAGAUUGUCGUGGCCUAGGUGAGUAAAUCCCUGGUUAGGAUUUCUAUCGAUGGUGGCUUGAUUUGAAAUUUGAUGCUUGUCUUGAAUGUGUAUUGUGCUAGCACUGCAGACUUGCUUAAUUUCUGAUAUAUUUGGACUUGUAUAUGUUUACUUGUACUUGUUGUGAUCAUAUGCAUCAAUCUUGUGAAAUCUGAUAAUUGUACUUUGGAUUACGAUUGACUAGUAUUGCAUCUAUGAUUACGUGAUCCUUGCCCUUUUAUACCUAUAUUGCCUUAGACUUGUGUGAGAAAUGGAAACCGGAGAAUGGCGUUGAGGAUAUAGAUAGUAUAGAAGUGUGGUUUAAAGAUAUAUGUUGAAUAUAUUGGUGUCGGAUCAUGAUGUGAGUUAGUCAUUGUUUGGGUUGCGAAAUAACUUGAUGAUUCAUUUAGUCUAUGGAACGAAUGAAUGUUAGCAAUGAUGACUUAGUACUCUAUUUACGCUUGAACAUAAUGGUCUGUGUAUGAAGAUGAUCCAGGUUUAAGAGUUGUAAACUUUCACUUAUGUGUUGGUGAAAGACUUUUGUCCUAUGAUUAGUAGUUAAGGUUCAAUGAUCCAUGAGUAAAGGGAAUGUAAAUUGGUUCUUCAAGUCUUAGAUAUAAGCUAGAUAGUUUAUGGGAAGAAAUUUAAUCUAUCUUUUGACAAUGGAACCUAUUAUACCUGACUUAAAAAAAAAACUCAGUACUUCAUGUUUAAAACCUCCUAUUCUAGUUUUAUCUGCUACGUGUGAAGUUUGAUAAAAAAAAAAUGAUGAUGAAUUCAAAAAUUUUCAAUUCGAUAAUAUAUUUCUUUGCCUUUCUACGCCUUUUAGAUACUAAUAUUUAAAUUUGCUAUAAAUGUGCUUGUAAAAGUAAUAUAGAAUUUUCGAUCUUAUUUUUCUUGUUUAAGUUAUUUGGGUUAUUCUCUUGUACGAUAUUUUCAUGAAAUUUGAGUUAUUAAGAUCGUAACUUUUAUAAAAGAAAAGGUUUUAACCAAAUAUUUUAUGUCUGCCCCAUCUUACCUUUUCACUUUAGAGUUAACUAAGAGAGUCUCUUUGCAAACAACCAAGAGUUUAGGAAUUUAUUCUUACGAGCGUUAUUCUGAAAAUUUUAUAUCCUUCUCUUAAAAACUUCAAAUAUUUUGAUUUUUGUUAUAAAGCUAUAUUUUUCCUUUGUGGAGAGGAAUGAACUUAAGAGUCUUAUUAUAUCUGAUGUAAGGUUUGAAUUUAUCAGAGUAAGUGACUAGGGGACUAUGAUAAGAUAUUAUUGACUUUAAGGUUUAUCCUUUAGUGUUUUGAUAUUUGUAUUCAUUUGUAUGGAAUUGAAUGUGAUUUUUUUUGAAAUUAUUUAUUACUUGAGGUUUCUUUCUAACCAUUUUAAAAGAUUAAUAGGGUUAAGACCCAGUAGGACAAAAUUACUGCGUUGUUAAGAUCUUAUAGAAUUUGAUAUACGAGGCAUUAAAAUUCACUGAGAGUACUUAGGGACCAUUGAGAUAUUGAGGUAAGGAUUAUAUGAUUUGUUCUUGGAUUGGAACACGUAGAUUGAAAAAUUUCUUGAGGUGAUUUUUAUUACUUAUGAUUGGCUUAUUAAUGAGGUAAUUGAAUUUGCGAAAAAGCGUGAAAAGAUUAUCAUCUUGCUCCUCGUGAAAAGAUUAAGAAUACACGACUUACGUGAUAUCUAGUGUGGAAUAGGUUUUACAAUUCCUAAGAGCGGGAUGCAGAAGAGAUAUCUGGAGUUUUUGAGCUAAGGCAUGAAUUUCGAGAACGAAAUUCUUUUAAGGGGGAGAGGUUGUGAUGAUCCAGAAAAUUAUUUUUCUCACCUUCCAACUAUUUGCAUUUUUAUUUAAAUUAUAUUUUUAUUAAGUUUGUAUUCAUUUAGUGAUUUACUUGUUAAUUGUUAAAUGAGUUUCUUUUACUUGCUUAUUUUAACCUUCGAGUGAUUAAUUUCUUGAAAAUAUUUAUAUUAUGUGAUUUUGCCAAAUUUUUGGUAUCCUCAUCUAUUAAACUGUCAUUUUAUAUCUUAGUUAAAUUUUUAUUAUUAAUUGCCCGGUUAUUGUUUGGCUAGCAUUAAAUGUGAAAUUUUAGAGUGGUGACGUGGAAUUUAGUCUUAAGAUGAAAUCUAGAGCAUGUAGAGAUUUUAAAGAAAUAGAAAAAUAAUAGGAUAAUGUUGGUUGAGGAAAAUCUAGUUUUGGAUAAGAUGUCGCAUGAGAAUGCGACACAUAAGCGAGUAGGUGAGGUGGUCCCCUACCACACUUUAAAGGAAGAAACUAGACUUGAGAGUUCUCUUCCCCUUGAGCCAACCGAAAUUUUGAGAGAGAGAGGGAGACUUGAGAACUCUCCAUUUCCUCCUCCAUCUUGCUCUUGAAGAUCACUUGAAAACCCAUCAAUCAGCACAAAAUUUUCUUCUUCUCUUUCUUCUUUUCUUGUUGAGAGCCGAAGGGGAGAGAGAAAAUCGAGAGAGAGAGAAAGAGCUUGAGAGAGAGAGAGAGAGAGAGAGAGAGAGAGAGAGAGAGAGAGUAACCAAGAGAGAAGGGACAUCCUCCAUCUUGCUCUUUGUGGAUUUGUGGAAGAAAUCACCUAAUUAACCUAAAAGAUUUGACCUUUCUUGAGAAAACUUGAAGGGUAAAGUUUGGAAAGAAAUUUUGAGAUUGAAUCACACUAGAUCUAGUUAGAUCUUGAGGUAAGCACCAAAAAUCACCCUUAAUCUUUAAUUUCUAGAUAUGGGUAUGUUAGAUUCACUUGAUUUAAGUAAGAUCUAUGGUAGAUCUAGUAAAUUUCUUGAGGUUAUAUCACUAGAUGUUCUAGUGGUUAAAAUGCUAGUUUAGCUCUUAAUUUGUUGGUUGGAUUUGCUUGAAAAUUGUCUUUUGAUGACCAAGGGCUAAUGAUUGAUGAAUCCCAUAUGAAUUUGAGUGAAUUUUGUUGACUAAAUGGUUGUUUUGUUGGUGAAAAUGGAAGAAAUCUCUAUAUCCACCAAGUGUUUGAUCUUUUGUGGAGGGUUGUUUAUGUGCAAAUUUUCAUGGUUUUUCUUGCUAAGAAUAGUUUGUUAUGGGAAAAUUGGGAAGAUUUGAUGGAGAAAUAUUUGGAAAAUUCUUGUGGGAAAAAUUCUGCCUUUGCUGUCCAAAACAGGGGAAGAUAUUCUAGCCUUGAUUUCCUCUUUUUCUUAAUAAUUUUGGGCAAGUUUUUGUUCAAGAAACUUGUUAAAAUAUCACUCUUUAUUUGUAUGUUGAAUUUGAACAAAAACUAUACUAUAAAUUUCUUUCUUGUUUUCUUGUUUGAAAGUUUGCAAAAUGGACUGAAACUCAGAGAGCAUUUUCAGUCAAUUUUUCAGAUUUUCUGGUAUUAAUUGAAAAUGAAUUAGAGUCUAAAUUUUAUACCGUUGGAAAGCUCUUCGAGUCUAGUUUCAAACACAACUAACGGCAUUCAAUUUCGAUUUUUCUACGUUGAGUUAUAGGCAUUUUCCCGAUACUGCUCAAAUGCCCUGAUAUGACGCGACAGCUUUCUUGUGCCUCUGUGAUUGCUAAUUUUGAUGAUGAAAAUGAAUGAACUGAAUUUGGAUGUCUAAAUAAGAAAUGUAGAUCUAUGUCUUAGGUUCGAAACGCCAUAAAAUUCAUCUCAAUCCGAUAAGUGUACCUCAAGUUAUGAUCAAAAUGCCGAGAGGUAUCAAAGCUGUUACUUUGAUUCUUCUCCUUUGCACUCUUUCCUUCACUUUUCUUGGUUCAAUUUAACAUUUUUUACUCCAUAUUAUACCUAAACCAUUGACCUAACAUGUACAUGGAUUUUCCCUUUGAUUUUUGAGCUUGAAACUUGUGUUUUGGAAGACUUUUAGGGAUGUAAAAAUAUAAAAAUCUUGAUAAACAUCUUGGGAUUUCUAAGUUGGGAUUUGGGAGUAGUUUUGAUUAAAUGGUGGUUUAGAGUAGUAAAUCUCAUUGUACUCUAAUUACUUGGUUCUAGGACUUGGAAGUGAACACAAGAUUUGCUCCGAAGCGGACAUUUGAGCGUUGCUUUAUAUGGUGAGUGUCAAGUGCAUGUUUCUUGAUAUCUUGAUUUGAAUGAUACCACGUGUUAUGUAUUGAAUAUUGGACUUGAUAAGGCGAGGGUGUACUUUAUCACACUCGUCCUCCCCUUCUUGAAUGAUCUUGUACUUGAGUGAACUUGAGUGAUCGUACUUGUGUUUAUACUUGUGCUUGACUUGUAAGUUGUAGAAACCAAAUUUUUAUUUUUAGCCUUAUUUUAUUAUUAUUUAUUUUUCUUAUUUUUAUUGUAAUUGAUUAAAUGAUAGUAAGGGUUUUUAAUUUUUUUUUACAAAUUGGGUUCGUUGUUUUCAUUUUUAUUGCUAAGAUAUUUUGUAUUAAAUUUCAGAAAAAGAAAUUUUCCACAAAAAGUUGUUUUAAUCAUUUUGGAUUCAAUUGGAAAAAAAAUAUAUAAUUGAUAUUUAAAAAUUUUCAAUUUGUUUUUAACUGUUUUUGUUUAUUUAAAUUGAAUUUUGAAAAAAAAAAAUAAAAAAAAAUGAUAAAAAAUAAUAAGAAAAUGUUUGAAUAGGUGAAAACUUGCAUGUGGGACAAGUAUCCCUUUAUGCCUUUGACAACACAACACCUAAGGGGUUAGGUUUCCAAACACUUGGAGGCCUAAGAUUUGAAGGAAAAGAAAAAACAAAAGAAAAAGAAAGGAAAGGGCGGCUAGAGGUUGAGAGAGCUGAGAGUGGGAGUUAGGGGUGAGAGAUAGAGAGAACCGAGAGAGAGCUCUCGACUGAGGAGAAAAAGAGGGAAAAACAGGGGAAUCUUUGGGAGCCGAAGGAAAAAAAAACAGAGGUAGAGAGGAUAGAAGAGUGGCGGCUAAGGGGAUUAGCUACGGGAAAGCUGAAGAAGGGGCAAGAAAAUGGCUGAGGGAAUCUGGGGAAAGAACCAGGAGAGCUAGGCAAAGGGGGAAAGGGUUUUGGCUCAUCAAAGCAAGAAGAGAGGAUCUGAGAGAGCUUAUUAGGACAAGAGGAAAAGAAGGCUGGCGGGUGGGGUUAGAAGAAGAGAGUGAGAGAAAGAAAGCUAGGGAGAGGCGUCGAAGGAAGAAAAAGGCUGUGCUGGCUGACGGGAAACUAAGAAAAAAAGAGAAAGGAGACGGGCAGAGAAAAAGGAACCAAGCGAGAGAGGGAGAGUGAGAGGAGUCUCGGGCUGGCAGGGAAGAAACAAGAACUGGAAAAGGAGAAGAAACUGAAAGGAAAGAAAAAGCUUGAAGAGGUCCAGGGGCUGGAAAAACAAAGAAGAAAGAAAGGGUUUCGGAGAGUGAGAGAUAGUAGGAGGAAACCGAGAACUGGGGGUUUCGUCCGAGAGCUUGGGGAGGCUGCGCAAAAGAGAGAUCGAGGGAACUGGAAAAGCUUGGGGAGGCUGCGGAAAAGGAGAUUGAGAGGGAGAAACUUCAGGGAAGCGAGGGACACCGGAGAGGGAAAAAGCUGAGGAAAAAGAAAGAGAACCGAGGAGAUUGGGAGAGGGGUGGCGGCUGAGCAAGGAGGAGCUUCAAGUUACGGGCCAGAGGUUUUCUCACCAUCUUCAUGAUUCUCCUAGGAUUAUCGCACGUCCCAAAACAUUUACUGGAAUAGAAGGUAAUCCAUCUUUGUCUUUGGUUCUGGGUAGAACUUUCAUGUUAGCUUCAAGAUCUGGUGAAGUUUGUGUGAGGAGCUGCGGUUUUCUAGUUCGUUUAUUCAUGGUUGCGAUUUGUUGUUGCUGAUUUCUGAUGAAUAUGAUGUUAUGCCCUUGUUCUUGGAUCCUUUAUCAUGGUUUGGUCUAUCAGGACACCUAGAAAGAGACCUGCACAUGAGGAUUUUUUGCUGCAACAAGCGCUAACUUUUUGGCUUGUUGCAGCAGUGUCGCCAAAUGCGUUGCUCGAUUGCAUAAGGCUUUGGUUUGUUUGAUCUUCUGUUUUGCUGGCUGUUUGAGUAUGUAUAACUUGCAGCAUGUGUGGAAAACUAGCGUGGGAAACUCGACAGGGUUUAGCCCUCAUAGUUAUGCAUAGCGGCUGCCCUUUAUUGUUUCCAUAUUUCUUCUCCCAGUUUUUCAUUUGCUCAAGUAGCAGCUUUCUUGUCUCUCUGGGAAGCUUUAUAGAUAUUGCUCAAGAAUUUUUGUUUUGGAGUCUCUGGUUUGGUUUAUAAUGGAGCAAGACUUUAAUUGCUGUUUUCCUUUUCAUGAUGCAAAGCAUGUGCGAGUGUUAGUUAAUUAAGUGAGCUUCUGUAGAUAAACCCAGAAUGGGCAAAAAUCUUUGCAUGAGCUAAAAAUUUGCAAACUUUCCUUAUGCUGGUUUUUGUUCUCUUGUAUGUAAUGAGGUAAGGGUAUGAGCUUAAUAAGAACUUGGGUUUGGUUCUGGUUUGAGUUUGGUGUUAAAUUGUUGCCGUGCAUGUAAUUGCUGAAAUCUCAAAGUGCGGUAGAAAGUUUGCAGAAAUUUUCAGAUUUCGCAUGCCUUUUUUCCUAUGAAAGUUUCAGUUUUUAGGGUCACAAAGUGGAGAGAAUGCUUGGUGAAUUUGUUACUUUGGCCCAAGUUGUUGUUGGUUGAGUCGUUAGCAAUGUUUAGAUGGAAAAGAUUGCAUUCAAAAACCCAGAAAUUGCAGCUCAAGAAACCAGCGAAAGAAAAGGAAGUUCCUGCUAAGAAGAUGCGUGAACUGUCAAACCUUUUUGCCGCUGGUUUGCUGAGCUUGUUCCACAGCUUUAUCAUGUUUGUUCUUUGAUGAUUCUCUUGCCAUUGUUUCCUUUUUUUUUUCCUGUCUUGUGUAUCUUGGGCGUUAGUUUUUGAAAUAAAAAGCAUCAGCUGCAUAAUUUGGCUUGGAUUUCAUUUCCUUUCGGUUUGUACUUGGGUAGAACCAAUCUAGGAGAGUUGUAGAAGAAUUGUUGCGAAAGAUUUGCCUGCUUGAAUGUCGAAUUUCUGUGGUUUUGAUGUUUGGUUGAGAAGCUGGCCGUGUUUGGAUGAAAAAUUACAUCUGAUGAACACCACAAGUGUAGCUAAUCGUAGCUGGAAAAUUGCAGAAUUUUGUUAUUUGAUGCUUGCAUGAUCUUUUGUAUGAAUUUCUGGUACUUAAACAUGAGGAUUUUAGGUUGAAAAGUGAGAGGGAUAUGCGGCAAAUCUUGUUGUUUUGAUUCAAGCUGGGUUUGAUUGAAGUGGUAGUCGUGUGUUUGAGAGUGUAAUCUGAUAGCUGCAGUGGUGAACUAGGAAUUGCAGAAGGAAGCUUCGUAGCAUGCAUGGAAGUAUUUUCAAAAUUUUCACUUUAACACCUUAGCUUCUAUCUAAUGCUACUAUGGCCCAACUAAUUGGAUAACUUAAUCAAUUUUGUCCCUUAACAUGCCAUUUUUCUUUAACACGUCUUAACGUAAUUUUUAGAUAGAUUUUAAUGAGUUUUAGGAUGAAUUUGAAAGUUUAAUGACUUUUUCUAAACUUAUAGUUUUGAUUUGAAUUUUAGUGGAAUUUUGGGAAAUUUUGUCGUUUAAUUAUGAAAAAUGAGCUAUUAUUCGUUUUUUGUGAAUUUUAGUUUUGUUUUGGUAGGUUUCAUCUUAAGCCAUUAAUUUUAAUUUAUUUCAAUUUAGACCCUUAAUAUUUAUAAUAAUAAUAAAGUGAUCCCUCGAACUUCUUUAAUUCUUUCAAAUGGGUCCUUAUUUGUUUAAUUGGUCGAAUAUGAGUUGUCUAUUUUAUUUGAAUGCUUUAAUUAGUUUAAUUUUGUGUUUAUUUCCAUUUUUUGUGAUUAUUUGUUAAUUAAAGUGAUGCCUUGACCUUUUCUUUAUUUUUUGGAGGGUAAAUAAAAAAAUUUCAUUUCAUUAGGGCACCAAAUCAAGGAAGGUACACUCUACCCCUUUAUUUGAUUUUACUUGACCCUAUGUGCUCCUAUGUGAAUUUAUUUGUAAAAUUGCAUGCUUUUUUGAAUAUUUUUAUUUUAUUUAUUUAUUUAGUCACUUUAUUUGUUUUGAUUUAGUUUAUUUAUUUUAAUUUAGUUUUGAUUAUUUGAAAGGCAUUUAAAAGCCAAAAUUGUAAUAGUUAGGUAUUUCUUUUAUUUAUUUAUUUUAUUUCCUUUCUUAGAUUGUAGUUAGGGCCACCCCAAAUGUAAUAGUUAGGGCUUUAUUCGCUUUAUUCGCUUUAUUCGCUUUAUGUGUUUUGCAUGCUUAUGUGCUACGUGUUACUCGCUUUGUUAGGGCCUUGUAUCUAGAUAUCAUGAUUAUGUGUUAUGUGUUUAUGUGAUAUUAUGUGUUUACAUGCUUUUAUUAUGUUUUGCAUGAUUAGUUAGUUAUAAUUAAUGUGUGACGUCUCCACACUAGUCCAACGUUAGUUGUGGCUUCUUUUUCCGAUUUUUUACUAGUCCAACGCUAGUGAGAACUCGUAGACAUGAGCUAGUCCAACGCUAGACCCUUAGGAACCAUUCACAUGCUAGAUCAUGUUUGUGUGACUACACUACAUUUUCAUGCAUAUUUUUCACUUUCUAGGAUUUUUUUAUCAUUUUUUCAUGACAUCCCCCCUUAUACGUAUAUCCCGUACCCCAUGUUCCCCCUUAUAUAUAUAUCCUUUAUCGCAUAUUUCCCCUUAUAUUUUUAUUCCCUAUCCCUAUGUGUGAGACAUGACAUUAGACUUGCAUUUCAUAUAAGAAAAUCAGAACUAGGUUAGUACAUUUGCUUGAUUAGAUUAGGAAAUGCCCCUCAAGUAUGGGAUAUGGACGAGUUUGGCUUCCUAGCCUUAGCACGCUCGUAUUCCCUCUACAAAAGGGAAAAUUGAAGUCAUGAAUCAUAGCCCCGCACCCGUUAUGAUGCAUUCCUUUAGGUCAUGUAUAUUUGUAUAUUAUUAUUUUCUUUUUCUUUUUUUCGAGUCGCAUAUUUUUGCAUAUUCGUGACCUUUUCAAAUAAUUACUUUUGGGCAUCGUAAUUAAUACGAUUUGCACCAAAUAAAAUUCGAAGAAACAUGUUGACUUCGAUACAUUAGGUCUAGGGUUUGCACUCAUAUAGUACAUCCAAAUGUGAUAAAUUCUUAGGCUAAAAUAAGAAAAUCGUUGACUAAAUCACGCAAUUAGCUUUGACCAGGUUGAAAGGGUGCCUUGGAUUUUAUUUUUACAUUCCUUUUCUUCAAAUGUGUCUCCCGAACACUUUUCUCUGAUUUUUGCAAACUUGAAGUCGUUUAAAAAGGGUUUUUCUAAUUUUUUAUUCAAAAUCCAUUUUAGGUAACUUGGUACACCUUAACUCGAUACCAAGUGGCGGCUCCGAUUUUUUUUAUUCAAAAACCCUUUUUAAACUAUAAUUUGGGAUAAAAUCGUUGCACCUAUUAAACCCCAUUUAGGCCCCAUUUUGUUUAUUCAUUUACUAAAAAUAAAAAACACAUCAUUUUCAAUAAAAAAAUUAAACCAAAAUCCAUUUUUCUAAACUCUUUAUUUUUCAUUUUUAAAAGUGGGGCGCGACAUAAGUGAUGAGCGGCAGCAUGUAUCACACUCAAUCCGAAUGAAAGCUGCCUCUCAUAUCGUGUCAGUACCUCUAUUUUGAUUAAGUCGAUUGGAGUGUUAUUUGAUCGAUCCUAGUGCUGAGCGAUAACAUGUACCACACUCAAUCCGAGUGGGAGGUGCUUCUCAUACCGUCUCAGUACCUCUAUCUUGAUUAAGUCGAUUGGAGUGUUAUCUCAUCGAUUAUACUUGUUCUUGUUUGGGUAUACUCGAGUAUUACCACCACUAUUUCAAUUUGGUGUUCGGGCGAGGUAGGGAGUGAAAUGGUGGAUGGGGAUUCGUGUCAAAUGAAUUUUAUGGACUUGUUACUUGCGUGGUUGGUGGAGUGUCAACAAAAGAAAAUGAUAUCCAAGAUUGUGAAAUGGCAAGCUUGUGGAUUAGCUCAUGAGAGCUCCUGUAUCCUCUUAAUGAACAUGUUUUAGUCCUUUUGUGGCUUUACGUGAAACUAUUAUUGUUAUUCUGUACAUGUGCUACUUGAGUUGAAUUAUGGUGUUUGUUUUACUUUCUUGCUUACUUUUUUGGCCUCACUGAGCCUCCGCUCAUCCCUUUAAGUUUGUCAUUCCUUGACAGGAAUUUGAAGUGAAGAAUUGGAGGCGCUAGACUAGCCAGAUUUUGUUUAGAGUUAGUGUAAUUCCCUAAGUGACUUUUAGACAUUUGGAAGUGUAGAUUUCAUUUGUAUUUGAGAUAUUAUAGUUGUAAUAGUUAACACUAUUGCCUAAGGAUUGUAGUUGUUGUUAUUCAAGUACUUUCUUAGUUUUAAAAAAUUGUUUGGCUUGAAAAUCUUGAUUGAGUUCGAGCAAGUGAGUGAGUCGGCUAACCCUUAGGGUACGCCAUUGGGGAAGGUGGGGCUGUCA